AUGGCUCAAACAAAGGUGCUGGUGGUGGCUCUUGAUAGUCCUUAGGGUCAUCUUGGCUUUGAGCUGCUAUCCCAAGUGGUUGUCUUUCUGGGAAUUUGUUGGCUCCUAGAGACACAUCCUGUUCUUUAGCUUCCAUUUUUGUUCUUAGGUUUGGGGUUUUGGAUUGUGUACUUGUGUUUUGUUUGUUGUGUGAGUGAAGAGAUAAGAAGCGGAUUUAUAAGAGGAAUUGAUUUGAGUUAAUGGAAGUGUGUGGGUCCUACGAUGUGUUUUUUUAAUGAUUUUGUUGAUAGGAGGGACCAGUUGUGAAGGGUUUGUCCUAGCUGGCGGGAUUCUAACCACUUAUGGUAAGACCCACCAUGUUCCGCGCAGUACUGGAACGGGGAUUACUUUGCUGUUCCAAGAGAAAUAGUUUUCCUUCUAAUAUUUCAAAAUGUUUGAUGAAAAUGAUAUUAACCCAAAUGAAGGAAGUAAUAAGUGAUGAAAAUGAUUUUCCUUCUAAUAUUUAUGUAUGAAACAAAUACAUAAAUUCUGGUCCAAUUUCCACGUGUAUUUCAAGGGAGUUAAUUAUGUUGGGCGGUGGACAUUGUCAAAGUGGCUUACGUCUCUGAAUUGACACGUGUUGCUAGAAAUUGUUGUGUAAUUAUGCAUUGCAUUUAACAGUCGAUUUCGUGAAUUAUAAAUGAGCACACAAUAAUCCUUUUUUUUUUCUUAUUGUAGGCGGCUACCAUUACUGUGAUGUGACGAAAGCGAUCACUUGGUUUUGUUUGUUUAUAAAUGGGAUGAAUCAAAGUAGAUUUAUAUAUUAUUAUGAUCAUGAUUUUCAUGUUAAUAACACCAAAAAUCACUUGUAAAUUUAAAAUACCUUGCUUGAAUUACAAUUUAUUGAAACUAAUAGUUAAUGAUAUCUACAAAAGACAAUUUUUUUAAGUGGUUAAUCAACUUUUACAAGGGCGAAUUGUUUAGGAAAAAUUGACUCCAGUCCAAACAAAUAAUUUUAUAAAAAAAACUUGAAGAGAGAAAACAAUCCCAUAAUUUUUGAAGAAAAAAAUACGAUUCCAUAAUUUGGCUGAUGAUUUACAUUAAUAAUCUGAGCAAUGAUAUAGAUGUGGUUUUCUGAAUGUUUUUUUUUUUUGGAGAAUUAUGAAUGUUGUUUGUAAGCUUUAUAAGCAGAUUGAUGUUGUAAUUUAAAAAUGAUUAAUGUUGCAACUUAUUGUUCGUUUAUAUGUAAUUCUCCAAUUCAUAAUAUAUAAAAUAUAUUUUGUAAAUUUGUACGUAAAAAACAUGGUUGGCACAAGGCUGUCAAAAAUUAACUAAUCUCAAAUAAUAGUAUUUGCUAAUUAUCAAGUAGAAUUGUUCAUUUCCUGAAAGAGAGAAAAAAAAUAGAAUUAUUCAUAUUUUUCUCAUCACGAGGAUAGUAGCCUUUUGGUAUUUUUGUUUUGUUUUUAUCAUCAUGGAUGAGACAAUGAUUAAGUCUAAUUAAAACAGCCUUAAAAAUCUUGAAGUACUAGCUUAACUGGUAAAAUGACGAAAUUGUUAGAUCGAAUGUCAUGAUUGGGGUUCGGACCCCGAUACCUUCACUUGUGUGUGUGAGUUUAUAAUGACUUUGUCAUUUCGUAGAUCUACCAAAAAAAAUACACCCUUAAAAAAAGCUUAAUUAAAUACAAUUGAGAUACCAUCACUGCAUACAAACAAUAGCAGCUUUCGUUUUCGCAGUUGGAUUAUAAAAGCUUUAUCUUUGGGCAAUAGAUAAAUAAGUUGUUAUCCCAAAAGCACAUGAAACAAUUUAAAUAUUCUUGGUGCAUUAUUAUACUAAUCGUAUUAUACCUAAUGCACAUUUGUUUAGUAUCUUGAUUAGUCUAGAUGACUUGUCUAGAUAACAUUGAUUAAUAAAAUCAAAUGGUUCUUUAUAAUUUUAAUCAAUUAAUUGUGAGCCAAAAUUUUUGGUAUCUUUUGCAAUAUUUCAUCAUCAUUCUACUCUGGCAGAAAGCAAUAGGUUAGAGAGGAACACUCCAGGAAGAUUUUGGGUGGCAGGCCCCCCUCAUAUAUCCUUUAUGUCUUUUCUGUUAUUUGAUUUGAAAACUUAAACUAGAAACAUUUACAAAAAUAGCUAAGCAGCUCAGAUCACAAAUUGGUAAUUCGCAUCAUGCUUUCCGUUUAAGUGUGGUGAUUACAGUUCCACUCUGAUAGUUUGACAAAUUACUGUUUUCCAUAGUAAAAUGAUGCCUUUGAGAUUUAAACAUGUUAUUAACGCUAACAACUACUUUAAAAACCCUUGUUAAAGAAGUAAUUAUGGCAUGAGUACUGAUAUUUGAACAACUAUUUUUUACAACUAUUAUAACAACUUCUUUUUCCUCUCUUUCUAUUGGUCAAAAACAAGGGAGAGAAAAAGGAAGAGGAAGAAUAAAAACAUAGUAUGAGUAUGAAAGAGAGAGUUGUCAAGAAAUUAUCGUAAAAUGGUUGUGCAAAUAUCAUUUUUCUUAUAGCAGUACGGUACUAUUAGCACAUAUAGUCUAGUGGUUUGGCCGAAAUCAACAGGAGAUAAUCCUUUUCCAUCAUAUCAACUUCUUGUUCACACAAUCUCUAACAUUCACUCUCUAACUAGGUGGAAGUCGUGUGGGUUCACACUUAAGAAAUAUAUUUCACAUAAACGAUGAAAUCUUGAGUUUCUCUCGCUAAAAAAAUGACUAUUAAAGAGUAUGUUCCUAACAUUUUUUAUUGAUUGAAAUUUGAUGAUUAGACACCAAAGUAAAAGAAAAGAUAAGAGUUGUUUUUAGAUGGUCAAUAUUCGUAUUUUAUUUGUUUCAUUUGAAUGAAUAAGUGUAAGAAAUUGUUUAUAUAUGAGAAAUUGUGGCUCUUCUUCAUGCAUAUGUAAUAUGUAUAAUACUGAAUAAUGAUGAUAUAUUCUCGAAAAACGGCUAUGUGGUCUCUUUCAAUUUGAGGAAGCAUACCACAUAUUUGAUUAGUUGUGUGGGUAUAAAACUUUACGAGGUGAACAAAUGAAGUUUUUUCAGAGGAGAAACAAAUGAUCUAGCUGAAUGAUUAUUUUCGGUAGUAAAUAAAUAAAUAAAAACUAUGCAAAGUGCCAAACUGGGCGGUUAUUUUUCUCCAGAUUAUAAUAUAUCGUUCUUGAACAACUAGUGACCCAACACCAAAUGUUAUAUUUUUGUCAUAAAACACUAAAUGUUAAAUUAUACUACGUCAAUUAUUAGUCAUAUAUAAAUUAGUCAAAUGAAACCGUCUAUGCAAUUAGGGCCACAGGUUUUUUUUUCCUUCAUAAAUCAAGCCACACUAUCCUAUGUCAUGCGAUAACUUAUAAAAUGCCCUAAUUCGCCUCCAAUAUUUCACAGAAUUUCUUUGGAAGUAAGCAAAAGUUGCUUAUGAAUUUGCAAGUACAUACAUGGUUCUGUUACUAUACUAUAUAUCUGUAUAAGGGAACUAUAUUUUAUUUCCUUACCUUGCCUUCAUCAACCAAUUACUGUGUAAAAGAAGGAAGAGAUUAGGCUGUAUCGGUUUAAUUUUUCAAGGAUUAUGUUAAAAUAUAUUCUUAUUUUCCUAUGGAACUAAACUGGACUUCAAAUAUUUUUCAAAGAAUAAAACGAGUCUUCACUCAAAUAUAAACUAUAGAUAUUGUAUUUAUAGUUGUUUUUGUUUGCGUUAUUUUUCAUUUAGAGGAUGGUGGAGAUAGAGAGUGAGAAAGAGAUUGUUAUGGUGUGAGAAUGAGAGUUAUGUUUAUUCUCCUAUACUUUUGAUGUUGGAAAUUAUAAACACACAUAUAUGUAGAUGUCAUUUCCCUCUUUCUUUAUUAACUUCUUUUUAAUCGAAGAAAUGAUAAUAUACAUUGAAAAUCAUGUACAUAAAGGGAUGAGUUAGGUCUCUAACUCUAACCACGAUGUUUCAUAUAACAACUUUUGACAUUUUUUUAUAGGUGAGUUAGGACUUAUGAAUUGUUUGUUACUAUUUCUUUUUUUAAAAUAUGAUUAGAAAUAAUCAAUAAAAUAUCGAAAAAUAAAGAAAUUAAAAUAGAACCGCUAAGGCUCUGUUUGGUAAAAAUAGCGGAUAGCUGAUAAGUUAGCUGAUAGCUUUUAGCUGAUAAACUAACUGAAGUGUUUGGUAAAAAUAGCGGUUCAACUAGCUGAUAAAUGUAAAAUGACAUAAAGGUUAUUCUUAAUUCAUAAUAAAAAUUAUAUCAUUAAUUUAAGUAUUUGUAAUUUUGUGAACUAAUUUUUCUUUAAAAAAAUACUUUAAAUUUAUUAAUUUAAUAUAUCCUAUGUAUUAUAAAUUAAAUUAAAUUUUAUUCACUAAAAUUUUAUCUUAUAUUUAUUAUCAUUUAAGUGUUUCCACUUUAUAAAGAAAAUAACAUUUACCUCAAAAACAAAAAAAAAAGUUAGCACUAAUAGAGUAAUACUAAUAACAGAAAAUAAAGAAAAUAACACUUACCUCAAAAAAAAAAAAAGUAACACUAAUAGAAUAAUAGUAUUUUGUUUCCUAAAAAAAAAACGAAGGUAUAUAUUUUAUCAAAAAAAAAAAAAAAGGCCAACUGAUAUAUAUACAAAAAUUGGAAUAAAGGGAUAGUAGUCUUUAUUGCGUAGCUAUUAUAAAAAUUAUAAUGGAUAAAAAUACAAUUUAAAUGAAAUAAUAAGGGUAAAAUUGGAAGAAAAAGUGAGAAGCUAUAAGCUAUAAGCUCAAACGCUACUUGGAAUAGCUUCUGAAAAAUAGCUUAUAAGCUCGUGAAAUAAGCUAUAAGCUCAUGGUGAAAAAGUGUUACCAAACAGAGUUUUUUUUGUCAAACGAGCUUAUAAGCUAAAAGCUAAAAGCUCUUUUUUGGGAUUUUCCAAACAGACCCUAAGGCUCUGUUUGGUAAAAAUAGCGGAUAGCUGAUAAGUUAGCUGAUAGCUUUUAGCUGAUAAGCUAGCUGAUAGCUUUUAGCUGAUAAGCUAGCUGAUAGCUGAUAAGCUAACUGAAGUGUUUGGUAAAAUUAGCGGUUCAACUAGCUUAUAAACGUAAAAUGACAUAAAAGGGUAUUUUUAAUUCAUUAUAAAAUUUGUAUCAAUUGAUAUUUAAAAUAUUUAAAAUUUCAUAGUUUAAAUAUAUUAAUCUAAUAUGUCUUUCAUAUGUUAUUUUUAAAUUCAUAAAUUGGCUAAUGUUUUAUUUAAAAUUGAUUUUAUUUCAAUUUUUAGACCUUAUAAAAAAAUUAAACAAAACCUUUAAAAAAAAUUAAUUGUUACCCACUAAAACAAAAUUAAACGUAAUUGAUCCAAAAUCAAACAAAAUUUUGUUUUUAGACUUAAAAACAAAAUUAAACGUAUUAACCCAAAAUCAAACAAAAUUUUGUUUUUAGACUUAAAAACAAAAUUAAACAUAACGUAAUAUGAUUUAUUAAGGCAAACGUAACAUAUAUUUUUUUAAGAAAAAAUGUAGUUUUUAUUUUUGUAAACAUGAGCAUAUAUUUUGUAAAAAUAAAUAAAAGCGUGAGCAUAUAUAUUUAGUUAAAGUGAAACCUGGGAUUAAAAGUGUUAUGUUUUUCUUCAACGUAGUUAUUUAUUACAAAGGGUAGAUAUGAAUUUUUGUUAUAUUGAUAAGGGUAAAAAUGAGACAAAAAAUGAGAAGUUAUAAGCUAUAAGCUCAAACGCUACUUGGAAUAGCUUCUGAAAAAUAGCUUAUAAGCUCGUGAAAUAAGCUAUAAGCUCAUGGUCAAAAAGUGUUACCAAACAGAGCUUUUUUUUAUGAAACGAGCUUAUAAGCUAUAAGCUAAGAGCUAAAAGCUCUUUUUUUUGGUUUACCAAACAGACCUAAAUGGUCUAAAAAUAAAAGAAUAUGAAUUAUAUGCAGGAUACCUUUGACUUAUAUGGUCAAUCUGAAGAACCACUAACUAGCAUUCUAACAGGAUAGUAUAGCUAACUUUUAUAUUUAACUCCCCUGGUUAGAAUGUGUUUACUAUAUAGAAAAAUACCAACAACAUAAAAAUGUUGGAAAAAUAUCGGUAUAAAAAGAUUCUUUUUUUUUGUUACAGAAAUUUUAGAGUGAGGGGAUGGUGCCUCAGUCCAAGGCAGGGAAACAUUUACCUCCCUUCAAAGACACUAGCGGGGCUCGAAUCCAGAUUCUCUCGAAUUCAAGACGUAUCAUUUUACCACUAGACCAAGCCUUUAGAGUUGGUAUAAAAAGACUAUGAAAUGUCAUAAACACAUCGGCCAAAAAAAGGAUUAAUAAUUCAUUUUCUUUACAGCUAUAAUAAUUUAAAGGUUUAAUUAUAUAAAUGGUCUCUUAAGUAAUUAUGAAAUUUCAAUUUAGUCCCUUUAUUAAUUUUCGCCCUCAAUUUGAUCUUUUAAAUUACUUCCGUCCAUCAACUAAAUUCAUUCUGUUAAAACCAUGUGAAAAAAAGUUAACAUUCAUCUCUCCUUCAUCAUGUUCAUCAUCAAAUCCAGCAACAUUCAUCAUCUUCAUUAAUAAACCUAGAAAAAUUUAUCAUCAAAACCCAACAAAACAAAAAAACCUAAAAUUAACAAAUUUAAACCCAUAAAUUCAAACACCAAAUAACAAAUUAAAUAUUUACCAAGCUUCCUCCAACAUCAACAAAUAAAAGCUUCACCAAAAAAUAUCAAAAAAAUAUCUUCUUCGUCAUCCAAAAUUAACACAAAUUUAAAUCAAAAAAUUGUAACAAUUUCUCGUCGCCAUCAAAAUCUACCGGAAAUCAAGCUUCACCAACAACAUCAGUAAGCAAUUAAGUGGUGGGAAUUUGAAGUCAAUCAAGGAACCGUCACCCAUGAUCCCAAUAAAAGAAUCAACACUGAGAAAAUCAAAGGCAAACCAAAUUCAUCAAAACCACAACAACCCACCAACAUCAUUAUUCUUUUUUUAGAUUUCUUUCUAUUCUCUCUCACGCACAAAAAAAAUUCAAUUUGGUUUUUAUUCUUGCUCUUCUCUUGUUCAUAUAUUUUCUUUUUGACGGAUUGCUCACAGUUAUUCUUAGAAGGAGAGAUGAAUGUUAAUUUUUUUUUCACAAGAUUUAACAGAAUGGAUUUAAUUGAUGGACGGAGGUAAUUUAAAGGGCCAAUUUAGAACGAAAAUUAAUAAAAGGAUCAAAUUGAAAUUUUAUAAUUAUUUAAGGAACCAUUUAUAUAAUUAAGCCUAAUUUAAAAUAUCACUAAAGUUAAAAAUAAUGAAUUUUGCUCAAUCAUUCAUUCUUUUUAAUGGAUGGAAGCUAAAAUGCCAAUGAGACAAGCAAACAAUUUGAAUUUUGAUUAAUCAUUCGUUAUUUUUAUGAAUUGAAGCUAAGAUGUCAAUUAUGAUAAAAAAGAUUGAAUUUUAUUUAACAAUCUAUUAUCUUUAGGGAGAAGCUAAUUAGACUAAAAAGAAUAAAUUUCGAAUAGUCAUUUUUUUUUUUAGGGAAAAUUUCGAAUAGUCAUAUAUUAUCUUUAUGGAUAGAAAGGUAAAAUGUCAAUUAAACUUCAAAGAACAUUUUGCUAAACGAUCAAAUAUAUUUAUGGUUAGAAGCUAAAAUAUAUUUAUAGUUUUUUAGAUGUAUCUGACUAACAUUUCAUCUUCUCUUCAUUAUAAUGACUCACUUUAAUAGUAGCAGUUUAUUUUUCUUGUUAGUUUAUGUCUUUGUUUUAAUGAUUUAUAAAUUUUCACACUAUUAGAUUUGAGAGAAAAAAAUAAACAUUUUUAAUUUCAUUUAUGUGAAAAAUGAUUAACUCAAUAAUUUUUUUUAACUAUUUAUAGAUGUUCUUUUAACAAAAAUUUAGGAUGAGUAGAUCGUGGCCUGUCUAGUCCAAGACAGAGAAUAAUUUUAAGCUCAAAGAGUAUUUACAAAAAUAUUUACAUUUAUCCAACUUCAAAGAUACUAGUGGAACUCACACCCGGAACCUCUCUAAUUCAAGACUUGUCUUUUACCACUAGACCAAACCAUUAAAAUUCUAUAGAUGUUGUAAUAAAAUAACUUACAUGAAAGUUUUGAGAGGGCAAUUUAUUAUAGAAUAAUUAGGUUACAUGGGAUAAAGAAAAUUUCUAGUUCAAGUAUUAACCAAAAACAAAAAAUCUAGUUCAAGGAAAAAUGGGAGUGGGGUUGACGAAUUUGAGGUCAAAUAACAUUGCUCUCCUAGGUACUCAAUCUUGAAUGAGUAAGUAAAAGAAACCAAAAAGUUAUACAUGUUUGAUCAAAACUUAGACCAAAUACAAGGCUCGGGCUAGCGUGAGCGAUCAACAUAGGUCUCUCACAGUGCAAACUGAUUGGUGUCCAUUAGAUAUAUUAUUAUUAAAUGCUGCCUUCAAGAUGUUUUACUGGAAACUUUUGCAACAGUGUUUAUUAGGCAUUAAAAAUUCUAUUAAAAGUAACAGGUCAUAAAUUCUGAUAAAUCAUUUGCAAAAUUAGUGGGUUGGCACGUGUUGCAGAUAAAGACAAAAAAGUGACAGAUCAAGCAUUAAGAUGGGCUUGUUUUAUGGGUAAGGCAAUGGACUUGUUUGUUUGUUCAAAGUUAGUGGGCCUAUUCGGCAGUCGAGAAAAAACAUUAGAAGUAUGCUACCAUCACCUCCCAAAUUUGCUUAAAAGUUGAAAAGUGAUAUUUGUGAGUUAAGUGAUGUUUGGUAUUUUAAGCGGGAGUUAGCACAAGUAGACACGUAAAUGAUAUUAUCAGAUUAUCGAAUUUAAAGCUUUUCCAUUUGAUAUGUUCAGGAAUAAUCUACUAAAAAAAGAUAAAAACAUAGAUUUGUCUAUUGAUAAUACAUUUUUAAGAAAAUCGCACGUAGGCACGUGAAUGAGGACAAAAAAUCAACGAAGAUCAAUUUUAAAAGUAAGACACAUUUUAAAAGAUAGAAACAUAUAAGCGUCUAUUGAUGAAAUUUAGAAAGAAAAAAAAAUUAAACUUGAUAUUAAGAGAUUAGUAGUAAUUUAUUUUUUAUUUUUUUACAAAAGUCCGUUUGUAUAAAGCUUAAAAUUGAAAUGUAAAUAAAUCGAAGGUUACUAACUUCUAAGGUAAUUUAUUAUUGGGUUAAAUAUAUUUUUGGUCCCUAUAAAUAUGUUAACUUUUCGUUUUAGUGCCUCUAAAAUUUUCCUUCAACUUUUAGUCCCUAUAAAGUUUUCAAUCACUACUUUUGGUCCCUAUUUUUAAUUUAAUUUUUGUAUUUUUUAAUGAAAUUGUGCAGAAAUGUGUUAAAUAUUCUAAAAACAAUUCCUAAAAAAAUUAGAUUUGUUUAACAAAACACAAAUUAAAUAUGAAUUUUUAACCAUAAACAAUAUAAAAAUUCAUAUUAAAUUCAUGUUUUGUUAAAAAAUUCUUAAUUUUUUUUGGAGUCAUUCUUAUAAUAUUUUGAAUUUUUCUGAAAAAUUUUAUUAAAUAAUAUGAAUUCUACAUAUGAGUUUACUUUAAAAGAGGGACCAAAAGUGAAGAUUGAAAACUUUAUAGUGACUAAAAGUUGAAGGAAAAUUUUAGAGGGACUAAAACUUAAAGUUGACAUAUUUAUAGGGACCAAAAAUAUAUUUAACCCUUUAUUAUUUUAAAGAAAAGUCCUUAGAUGAAGGUUAUUUUUGUGGUACUUGAACUCUUAAAGAAUGAUAAAAAAUUUAGUCUUUUGUAAUUUUUACAAAAUUUAAUUACUUUUUGUCCAUGUUUAAAUUUGGUGUACGUAGUUAGGUACAUUGUUGGAUGAAAAUAAAAUCGUAAUGUUUGAUGAAAUUUAAAACAUUGUUUUGUGUUUUAUCUUUUUAAUUUUAUUUUAAUGUUGAAAACAAAACAAAAAUAUCGUAUAAGCAAAACACAACAACCGAUCCAAUCCAAAAUGCAUUUGUUUGAUUUGGUUUGGUUUGGUUCGGAUUUUAUUUUUAAAGUCAACCGAACCAAAUCAAACCGCAUACUUUUUCAGCUUACGGUUCGGAUGAAUUUUAGCCUCAAAAUCGAACCAAACCGCACUGCAAAUACCCAUACGUUUGACAUUUUAUGCGGGAGUUAACGCACUUAGGAACGUGAAUGAGUAAAACCAAAUAGGAGGAGAUUAAUUUAAAAAAUAAGAUAGGUUAAAACCAAAUGGGUUGAUAAUAUCGGAUUAGAAGAAAAAAAAUCCACUUGUUAACGAGAUCAUUAACCUAUUAAAAAUAAGAUACAUACAUAGAAUUGUCUAUUGAUGUAUUUUUAUAUAAUGAGUAAUAUUUUUUUAUUAAAGCUUAAAAUUGAAACGUAAAUGUAUUGUCAUCAAUAAAUGAACUAAGUUAGUUUUUUAUUUUUAAGAAAAAUCCUAAGAAGAAGGUUUUUUGAUUUUGUAUAUCGCAAUUAUGAACAUUUUUGUUUAUUAAGGUAAUAAUGAACCUUUUUUUAAAAUUUUAAAUAAAAAACAAUAGUAACAUUGGUAAUGUCAAUCUCCGUGAGCUUAGUUCAGUUGGUAGAGAUAUUGCAUAUUAUAUGCAGGGGUCGGGGUUCGAACCCUGACACUCCACUUCUCCACAAUUUAAUUGUGUGAGUUUUAGCCACUAGACUACUUGACAAAAAAAAAAAAAAAAACAUUGGUAAUGUCAAUGGGAGAUCAAAUAUGUGUGUUAAACCUGCUUCAAUUUUGCUUUCAGAAAAAUAAACUUUAUUAAGUCCUUUAUCAAAAUACAUUUUUGGUUUUAUUAAGUCCUUUAUUAAUUACAUACAAUGGCAUUGAGAAUGCAAAUGCAACAAAGCGAUUUCGGAAAGGAUUCAUAAGAAGAAUAUGAUGUAAGCGGGGGCCCACAUCUUCUUCUUUUCGUACAUCUCAUUGAUCCAAUUGUUGUUUUCUAACCCAAACUUUUGAACCAUCUCAGACCACAGAUCUUCAAAUUUGUUAAUCUCAAUGUCAGUCAGCAUGCAUUUUUUCAGAUAAGACAUAAAAUCAGGAAUCCCAAUGUUGGUGCAAGCAUUCCUUAACAGAUGCCAAGCACACAACCUGUGGUGCGCUGCAGGAAAAACCUUUUUAAUGGCAUUUUUCAUUGCAAGGUCUCCAUCUGUUAUAACUGACAAAGGAGGUUUACCGUUCAUUGCACUCAAAAAUUGUUCCAACAACCAUACAAAUGUGUCUUCGGUCUCCCGCGUUACUAUACCAGUCGCAAAAACAAUGGUCUGAUUAUGGUGAUUAACACCUGAGAACACAACAAACGGACAAUUGUACUUGUUCUUCCGAUAAGUUGCAUCGAAGGCCAAAACAUCUCCAAAUAUCUCAUAAUUCAUACGACUUUCACCGUCACACCAGAACAGACGCUCAAGGCUCCUAUCAUCAUCAAUACAACUUUUCACAAACAUAAGAGGAUCGUUUGUGCAAAGAUCUCGAAGAUAGUUAACUGCACCAGAAGCAUCAGAAAACAAUGAUUUGCGUUGCCUCGCAACCUAGUUGUACAAAACCUUUUUAACAAAUCCUACCUUAUGAAAAUUCCCGGAAGCAUUUGCCAAAGACCCAUACAUUUGGUAAGGUCGUAUCCCUGCUUCUCGAUUACGAUCAAUUUCAGCUAUGUCGGCCUCACUCUAUUUUCUGUACGUCGGCAACAUUCCACAAAGAGUACCACCUCCUUGCUCAAACAGAGGAUUCGAAGCUUGUGAUCUUCCAUCCAUGUAUCUGAGUACCAACAUUUUAUAUCAAUCAGGGUUAUGACAACUUGAAUAAAACCUAAACAUGUACCGUACAAAAACCCAACCAGCAUUAAUAUGUUGCAUAAUUAUACCAACACAAAGGCAAACCAUGUCUCUGAAUUUCAAACAUAGUAGUACUACAACAUGAAUAGGGGCAGAUCGAUUGUCAUUUUCAUCAAACUAAUAAUACCUCCACUAUAAUCAACAAAACAACCAUUUUUGUUUAAACCAAAAUGGAUUAAGAAAAAAAGAACAAAAAAAAACAUUAAGGAAGAUCAGCAUCCAAUCCGAAAAACUAAUAAAUAUGAAGUCUUUAAACAAAACAUGAGAUAUGCUAACCAAAAUGGAUUUAGAAAAAAAAAAAAAAAAGAUGGAAUCUAGAUCCUGCAUACAAUCCGAAAAACUAAUACAGAUGAAGUUUUUGAAAAAAAAAAACAUGAUUAGAUGCCAAAAAAUAUCUUACUGAUCUUUAAUCUUCAGCUCAGAAUAAGCCUCCUGAGUAUCGACUGGAUUCUUUUCUUUUAUCUUAGAUCACUCCUUCACAAAUGUUUUUUUUUUUAAGGAACAAAUGUUAAAUGUUUGGCUUUCAGAUUUACUGUUUGACUAUUUUAUAUUAAAUCACCUUAAUUUGUUUUGUAUUUAUUGAAGAUACAAAAAUGGAAAAAUAUAUUAAAUGUUAUUAAUAAAAAAUUGGUAAAAACCGGCUUCACCUAAUAUAAACGGUACAUUUGCAAGUUUCACCGUGAGAGACCUAUAAGGCUUGCUCACGUCAGAAGGCGCCAAAUACAAUUGACUUUUUAUACCUUGCAUACCCUAAACUGACCAAAGACACCAAAACCACUCCCACUUACUAAUUUUUACAUUGCACACUUCUCUUUAAACUCAAACUCUCAACUCAAAAUUCCUUUUAACAUUAACUACAAUAUUGCUCUCACCAGCAACAACUUUCUAUACAUGCCACCUGCUUGCAUCCGCAACCAUAACACUAGGGCUAGGCCCAUCCCAAAUCACCUUUAUCUUCUUUCUUGCACCAACUAAUGCUACCUCGUGUUGUGCUCGCGCUAACAACUCACUGCACAUGAUAGCUACAACCUCCAUGACUCCACCGUGAGUCUGACCCCUAGUAUGAUGAUCAUACUUUGCGAUUCGCCAGUGGAACUACAUAUUUGGUAUCUAUCCAUUCCAUAAUAAAUUUCAUGUUUAAAAUUUAAAAAAUCAUUUAUGUGUGGAAUGAUUAUUUUAUAUCAUUUUUUAAAUUAUGAAUAUUAUGGAUGUUAGACCUCCACAAUGUGACAAACUAAAAGUAUGUUUGGAUGACGAGUUUUGAAGGAGAAUUGUGGAGAUAUUUUAUAUUGUUUUUUAAAUUAUGAACACUAGAUGUUUUAAAAAUAAAUUAAAUGUGAUUGAGAUAUUAUAUAAUCAUUUAUCAUGUUUUUAUUUCAAUAUUUUUAAAAUAUCAAAUAUAAUUCACAAUAAAGACUUAGUGUAAGUUUGGUUACGUGUUUCGGCACCUCAAGCACGCGUUUUUGUCAGUAAACGUGAUUCUUGUCUCUUGCAAAUAUGUUUGGCUAUUUCUUUAAGAAUCGAUUUUAUCUCCCAAACUCGAUUCUAUCAAAAGCCAGGAAUCUUAGAUUUUACGGUGAAUCCAAAAUCUAUUCUCAAUUUGCAUUUGGGUUACAAUUUCAGAAUUCAUUUUAUCCCUGUAUUGCCUUAACAAUUAUAUCAAUAUAAUUCUUACUAGGACUCAAUAAUCUGAACCAGAUCUCCUAUAUCUACCCCCUAAAUUGUUGCAUGUUUCUGUUCUAUAUGACUCAAUAAUCGAGAUGGAAUUUAUUUGAUGAGGGAAAAUGAAUAUGAAAUAUGAGAGAUGGGGAAAGAGAAUUGAUAGAAUGGAAGAAGAAAAUUGAGAAAUAAGAGAAGGAGGGAGGAAUGUUAGAGGGGUGACAAAUAUUACGAGCUAUGUUUGAAGGUUAUGACUUUUGUAGUUCUUAAUACUCCGUUGGUUGAUCGGAUACCUAAUGAUCGAAUGGUUUGGAAACCAGAAAAAAAUGGUUUAUAUUAUGUUAGAGGUGCGUACAUGCUAUGUGUCGAAGAGUUAGUCGAUACUUCUCAUCUACGGCGUUCGAGUUUUUGGUCGGGUAUUUGGUGCAUAAAAGUGCCACCGAUGGUAAACCAUAUGGUUUGGUGGAUGUGUCGUGGAUGCUUGCCAACUCGAGUUCGUCUAGAAGAUAAAGGGGUGCAUUCUCUUUGAUUGGUUAAAAUUCACAUGGAUCCCACCAUAUCAUGUGUGACCCCUAUGAAUUUCAACCAAUCAAAGAAAGUGUGUUGACAAGUGUAUGUUAAAAUGUGUGUUGCUAGCAUUUCUCUUAUCCAUAUUUUUUUCCGGCUCUCACACGGAUUUCCGAACCAUCAAAGGUGGGCAACUAAUCAGGCUCAUGCGUAGAAGCAUGCACACUGGUCAAACGUUGUUCCCUCUGAAAAUUGAACUCAAUAUUCCUCGGAUAUGUCCUUAGAAGGAGCUCCUUGAUCCUAGAGUCUAAACAACUUGAUUUCUGAAAUCCAUAUUUUAAAUCCGAAAAAAGAUGCUCUUAGUCGCUUUAUGAUAUUAAUUUUUUAAGAGGUUAUAUUAAAUUUAUAUGGGUUUAAAAGAUGCUCUUACAUAAUUUUUGUUUAAAAAAGAGUCGAAGUUCUGUACGUAAUUACAGUCAUUAAAUAGUCAGUGAAUGACAAAAAGAUAGGGUCAAAAUAAGUAAUAAAUUCCUGAAAAGUAGGAUCUAAGUAAUUUAUGUUGCUCUCAUGUCAUGAUUAAUAUAAGUUAUCUUGUUAUUUAUAGUCCACCCGUAUCAAAGCAGAGUGAUCUAUAUCAUCUUUCUGGCUUAUUCAUGUUAAUAUUAAAAAAAACUCAGCUGAUAAACUUGUUUGUCACCCACCCGUACGUAAAUUGACGUGUGCCUUUCUAUUUUUUUUUUACUCCCUCAGUUUCAAAAUAUAAGCAAAUUUUACUUUUUAGGUUCAUUCAAUUAAUGAUGUAUGUGGUUUAUAACCACAUACAUCAUUAAUUGAAAACCACAUACAUCAUUAAUUGAAUGAACCUAAAAAGUAAAAUUUGCUUAUAUUUUAAAACGGAGGGAGUAAGUCAUACAUAAUUAUUUUAUUCCUCUUGUGUUUUUUUCAACAUGAUGAUUAAUUCCAAACAUUAAGAAAAAUAAACAUACUAUACUUUUGAUUUUUGAAAAAUUAUUUUCCAAUUUUUUAUAUUUGUUACCUUUGAAAAAUGAUCAUAUUUUAAUUUUUUUUUUCAAAGAGUCAAAUGACUAAACUCAUAACACUGAAUGCAGAGAAAUAAAGAAUUAUGAGUUUAAAUCCACACCCCUUAAUAUCUAAUGUCCCUCCAAUUCUUUUUAUCAUUUGGGUUAAAUUUUUUAUAGAAAAUAAUUUUUUUUAAGAAGCCAAAAUGAAAUUAAUAAUCACCAAGAACGAAUUAUCUCGCACAAGGUGUGUUAAGAGAAUCAUUCCUCAAAAGAAUACAAAUCCAGUAUCUGUUGCCAAAAAAAAAAACACAGCUACAGAGAUGAAUAAAAACUACUCCAUAACACUCAUACAAGUUAAAGGGUGCCGCCACCAGUCAUUAUAACUGAAAGCUGAAGUGAACAUAUGAGCCUUUAGCCAAGAAAAAGAAACAAACUUUACAUUGUCUAAUAAUUGUGUCACAUCCCAUGCUUUGUUUUUUAAAAUUAUGUUGUUUCUUUCCUUCCAAACUGUCCAAACGCAAGCAUGCUAGAUAACUUUGAAGAAAGAAUGUGUGACUCUCGGUAACCCCGCCAUGUGGCCAAAUUGAUGAAAAUGGUCAUGACCAGCAUUUGGAGAAAUGAAAGAGACACCGAGCCAUUGGUAAACCCGAUGCCAAACAAUGCCAAAGAUGUCGCAACUGAAAAAAAGAUGAGUCGUCGUCUCCGGACAACCGCAACCACCUAUGCAAUAAAUGUCUUCGUGAUGAAGUGCUCUCCUACGGAUAAGAUUGUCUUUGGUAGGAAGUCAAUAAAACUUAUUCAAUUGUGAAAAGGUCUAAUCAUAAAACAAGAAUUGUACUCAUCACACUAACAAUGAAAAAAUUAACCACCCAUAGUGGGGGAUGUAAAAUUUAUGAGGUUUGGUAACUUUUAGAGAGAGAAGUUCUAACUUCUCUCUUCUCCGUCUUUCACCUACAAACAACAAUCGUCUUCCUACAUCACCCUCCUCUCCUCCCCUUCACAUCCAAACAACAACCGCAUCGAUGUAGAUGCUUGCUGUGGUGGUGUGAUGCCUUUCAUGGCCGCAUCACUGUUCUCCCCUUUUUUCCUCCAGCGACCCUCCUUCCGAAGUUUCUCUCCUCUUCCGUCGCCGUUCGUCGGUUUUCAGGUUUGAGUUGUGUUGUCUGAUUCUGGCUGGUGGUUGUUUGUUGUUCCUUUGGUUCUUCGGAUUUAGUUCAUAUCUGAAGGCUAUAGAGAUCAGAUUGCUUCCUUCACGCCGGAUUGAGGUUAGGGGAUGUUUUGUGUCUGUUCUGCCUUUUCGCAGAAUAGCUUUCUCCAAGGUUGUCCGGCACUGUUUUCGGCGGCGCUCCGGUCGGCGUUUGCUUCGUUUUCCGACGAUGGUUGCCUUGGUCACCGCUGCUUUUGUUUUAGUUUCUUUUAUUUACGUUUUGUUUUAGGAAGUUGAGGUUGGGUGUGGUUUUGUUCUGGAUACGGUGACUCUGUUUGAAAAUCUUUCAUCUGGUUUUACUGGAUUUAGGAUGUGGAUUCUAUUGUUCUUUUCAUCAGUGCGUGGAUUUGUUGGAUGCAUCCCAUGAUCUGGAUUCAACGAGUCUUAUGUUCUCCUGAGGUUGCUCGAAAGAGCUAGGUGCGUAGAUGCUCCGUGUUGACGGUAGUUGUCGUUCGUCGUACCUUAAGAACUAUAUCUGCUGCGGUUGCUUCAUGCUCUGCGGUGGACUGUGUUGGAGUUCCUUCGUUUGUUCAUCCCUCGAUCUGGACAACGAUUGGAUUGGUUCGGCCCGAAAGGGCGUGUAUGACUUGCUGUUUAGGGAGUUGCUGGAACUUGAAUCAGACUGUGUUGACAGAACGCCUAUUUAGAAGCUUGAAACACUAGAACUAUGUUUUUUUGCAAUUUGGUUUCGCGUCCAUACGUGGGUGCGCUGGAUUGUCCGUGGUUGUUGCUGUUUUGAGUUUUGCUUUUUACCCUUUUGGUGGUUUAUUUUAAUCUUAUUUCUAUUUUGCUUAAAAAAAAAAACCACCCAUAGUAAAAUAUUUAAACAACAAGAAAAAAAGAAAUAACCCAAAAGAAUUUACGACACCGUCGACAUCACCCGUCUUAAUCGUUCUCGAUCGCUCUAUUUUCCCUCCCCUCUUUUCCUCUUCUUAUGGACGUCGCAACUUCUCUACAAAUCAUAGUUUUAAUCUUUAUUAAAUACUAAAUCACAUUGUAUGCUUUGCUCAACAACAAAAAAUCAAUUUGUAAAAAAAAUCAUAUAACCUUUAUCUUAUUAAAAUAUAUAAAAAGGAAAAGAAUUUAAUUUUAUGAAAGCUUAAUUGUGAAAAAUAUAUUUAUGGAUAAAACAUGAGAAACAAUUACGUUAGCAUAUCUCUACCUUAUCCUAAUAUCACAUAUAAAAUAAAACUGAGGAGUAGUUAAUCAUAAAAAAAUAUAAACAUGUCUCAAAAACAAAUAAUUAAUCUUUAUCCAGGAAAUACAAGUCGGAUUGGAAGACUUUUCAUAAAUUAUUAACGAAUAAAAAGUUACUCAUAUAUUUGUAAUGAAACCGUCAAUGAUAGGAUUUUCUUUUUGAAAGGUCAGUGAUAGAAUUUUCAAUGUGUUAUUGUUGAUCCUUUAAAAAAAAAGUGUUAUUGUUGAUUUUUUUUCCAAGUUAUAUUAUUUGAGUCUAAUUUUAUAUUUGUGAGCAAAUCAUAAUUAAUCACAUGAACGACCCUUGAAAGUAGUUAUAAUUAAGGAUUUUAAUAUUUUGAUAGUUUUAUUUUUUUUAAAUAAGAUAGUUAUGACUUAUGAUUGAAUGAUAGUGAGUAAUAUUUCAUUCUAUUUUUUUUCUCUUUUAAUUGCAAGUUAAAAUAUUAUUGGCAAACCUAAUAUGACUUCAAGGUGAAAACUCCCACUUUGGUUGGAGAAACUGUGUGGCUUCCUAUUCAAAUGUUUCAUGUGGCAUAAUUUCUUCCUUGGAAUGGAUCUUCUUCAUGUCUCUCUCAGCGAAUAAAUAAUGCUCAUAAUUUGUCUUGAGCUAAAUUGAUUUGAACUUCUUACAUUCGUACUUCUAAAUAUUUUUUGCUUUGAAUACUUACUUAUUCAUAACAAAGUUCCUAUAUGUGAACAUCUUCGUUCUAAAGGUUGUAAUAUAAUCUCUAUUUGUUGUCACUAUUAUGGGGUGCAAACGAAACUUUCAAUCAUUUUUUCUCAACUGUCCCUUUUCUUAUGACAUUUGAGGUUGGAAAUAGGCUUCCAUUGGUUGUUGUAUUAAUACUUAUAAUAUUGACUACUUUGACUUUUCUUGAUAUUGAUUUUGAAUGAUGAAUUACAAAUUGUUUUGCUUGUUGUAGUUAUUAAUAUCUUUUGGUUCAGUCGAAAUCAACCGCGCUUUCAUAAUAAGAUUAUUUUUCUUCAGUUCAUACAUGAAUUAAUCAAGAGGAGUACUUCUCUUGCUUUAUCUAUUUGCACCGGUCACAUAUUAAACUCAAUUAAAGAAUUUUCAAUUCUAAAUUUUUUAGAGUGAUCGAUUUUCAUAAAAAAGCUCAAUAUAUUAUUUGGCGGAUUUAAAAUCUUCCAUGUGUUUGGUUUAAGUGUAAAUACAAAUGAUGCACCUAGACUCUAUAAACCUUUCCUUUUAGAAGUGUAACUAACAAAUAGCCUAGGUGUCUUCAAACCCACAUGGGGUGAUACUAGUACAUCAAAAAUACCAAGCAGGGAAUUAUAAAAAAUAGAAGGUACCUGAUGUAUAGUUAUCAAUUGAAAUUUUUGAGGUCUAACCAAAACAACGAUCACCUAUUUUUGAUUAACAACACUUGUUAGACCUUGGUUCUCUUGAUCCUUGUGACUUGUGAGGGGUGUGGGUGACAAAAUUGACUUAUUUGGCCUUCAAAUCCUUGAUUUGUUGAACCUCAUUAUGAACCAUGAGUUCAAAAAUGUAAUCAAGUUGUUGAGGGACUUGACAAUUAAUGUUAUGUAUCUCCAUGUCAAUCUUUUGUCCAAUAAAAGACAUUGUCAUUACCACCAGUGUUUCAAGUGGAUCAACUGGUGGUGCACACAAAGGGCCAUAAAUGUUAUCAUUCCUAACAUUUGUGAAGGCUUGUUUGGUCUUUAUUGACUUUACCUUUGUGAUACUGAUGAUAACACAUGUGAUCUUUAUGCCAAAAGUCUUUCCAGAUCUCAGGUGCAUACUCUAAACGUAGUCUUGAUCGGAAAAUUGGAUUCUUCAGUGGUAAAAGUUUGUAUUUUUCCACUGAAUGUGUCAAAUUUGUUGAUGGAGCUAGAAAUUAGUCGAUGUAUCACAUGAUGUCCUCAACCAUGUUUCUCUUUCUUCAAAUAACUAAUCUUUGAGGAAGGAAUUAUGUCCCCCCACUUUAGGUUUCGUAACUGGCUCAGUAAAGCGUCAAGUACAAUUGUUUUUGGAUUUCUUCUACUAGGCUAAGAAAUGUAUGUAAAAAUAAGAUAAAUACAAAAUGAUAAAGAAAUAAAAUAGCAAAAAUAACUUAUGUUUGAUUCAUUGAUUGUUUGUUUAAUACAUCGUACAAAAUAAGUAUUUAUAGACAAAUCUAUUCUACUGAUCAGUACAAUGUGAUCUAAAGUGUCUAGCUUUGCCUGAUUAUUUUCACGGAUAGUGUGCAAGUUUUUCUUUGGUUUAGAGGAUCAUGGCACCCCACGGUCGACUAUAAGCUUCCCACUUCACGACAUGAUAUAUUGACGAAGCCCAUAAUGCACAACCUUUCCUCAAAACUUGUAUCCUUACACUUCGUUCAGUGGAGUUAGUGACACUAUAUACAUGAAACUUGAGUUUGAUGCAUAAUUGUCGAGUUCUUCUGCAUACUAGUCUGUAGACUUGAAAAAAACCAUUUAUCCCUAAUUGGACGGUCAUAGUCUUUGCCUAACCUUCUAUCAAUUAAGGAUAACUUGCCAAGUGUUCUUUUAAUAUUUUUUUUUUUAUACACCUUACCAAGUAUUCUAAUCGUCUAUCUAUCAAUUACGCUUGACAACCCACCUUUGUUUUUCUUUUAAUAAGUUUUCAUAAAGAGUAAUAAAAUUUUCUUGGUACCAACAUACAAUAGUUAGGAUAAAAAUAAUCUUACUUGAUGUUUUGUAAAUCAUAUUCACUUAAAAAAUUUUCAUUAAAACCAUAUCUUAUUAUUUAAACUAGACUAGAUCUUGAUUGCACACACUUCAAGCCUAACAUGACAAAAAUUUAUUUUAACCAAGUAAACGACAAACAUAUUAUGUGUCUCCAUCAAUCAAUUACUUCUAACGUUUCUUUCUUUCCCCCUCACCAAAUAAAAACAUCAUUUUCCUUCCCCCUCCUACAUUCCAAACACAUAACUAUAAAAAUUGAUAAAAUUUCAUUUAUUUCCAUUCAUAUUGCGUGCAUCAACCAAAAUCUCUGAACUCCGAACCAAAAACAGCACCGUUCUCACAAAAACACCAUAGCCAACAGGAUCUUCCUCUGUUUCUUCAUUUUCUGAUCUAACCAAUCAAACGGGAAUAAAACCAUCCACGUGUCAUCUAUCACCUGAUUCAUGUCUCCUUAACCAUCGAAAACAAACGAAUCCUCUUCCAUUUUCAUGAUCCAAGACACGUUAAAAUCUUAAACUAAUCAGAAGCUCCGGUUCGAAAUGAAGGUUUUCUUGGUUCGUUACUGAACCGAACCGGUUUUGGUUUUUUUUUUAUUUAGAUUUUGUUGUUAUUAGCGGCGGUGAUGAGAGGGAGCUGUUGGUUGAACCGUCGGAUUGAACAGAGGUUUCGGUUACUUGCGAUCUCCACCGUUAAAUCAGCCAAGAUCAAGCUUCUGUUAUUUUGUUGCGUCGCGUUAACGCUUCUCGCGUUUUCUUCUACUGGUUCAAGUUUCUUAUUAUGGAAUAAUACUAAUCAAACCCCUCAAAUUCCGAGUUUCACUGAUUCAAGGUUCGUUCAAUUUAAUUCUUGAAUUUAAUUUAUCGUUUAAUUAUUUCAGCACUAUAGUUAAUGAUGAUUAAUGGUUAGUUUUGUAGUUUCUACUUUAGGGUGAUAUAAUUGCAUUUAAGAAAAUACAAAAUUUAUUUUUGGUGGGAAAUUCUUUUAUGGAAAUGUUUUUUUGUUGUUGGAAAAAUACAAAGUUUCGGUUUUUUUAUGGAAUUUCUAAAUAUGUAUUUGGGACUAAGAUUCUGUUUGGGUUUUAUUUGCUGUCUUUUUGUUUGUUUGUUUUUGCAUAGGAAAUAUAAAUAGAAAGGGAUUUUAUAUAUAAUAAGGUUUUAUUGCCUUGAUUUGAAGGUUAGUGCUAAAGUUUAACUUGAAGAGUAAAAUAGGGAAAUGAACUUUAGGUUUAGUGCUCAGAUUUGGAAUCUAUAUAUAUUAAGGUGAUUAGUGUUAUUUAUACAUUGAAAUGAGCUUGUAGUGUUGGGAAUUUUGGAUAUUGAUCUAUGAAGCACAUAUACUCCUCGGAUUAGGCGUGUUCAGGUGUCAGAUAUAUGACACCAACAUGACACAUAUGAUUACAUUAACUAUGUAAUUUUCUCAAAUAUUAUUGGUGUCGGCGUGUCCGUGUCAUGUCCGGUGUCUCUGCUUCAUAGAUAUUGAUGUUUAGAGAUGCGUUUCUGAUGUCACUUUUGUUCAAAUUUGUAUACCGGAAGUUGGAACAAUUACCUGGACUUUGAAUAUUUUUUGGUACUACUGUCCAGUGAUCAUCUGAUCAAGUACGAAGUUCAGAUCAGUGAUUUGUAGCUGAUGGAUAAUUUAGUGUGUUUUUGGUCAGUUUUUGGCUAACAUGAUUUAAAUGAACUUGAUUAUGUAUAAUUUGGUUAAAUUUGAGUUUGACGUGAAGAAGUUAGAUAUAUUUGGAUAAAUUUACCCUGAAACUAAGUUGAAUGUACAACUUUAGAAUUAAUUUGUCAACACAAUAUCCACUUUUUAUCUCUUAUGGUUAGAUCGAUGUAUAGAGACAAUUUAAAUUUUGGUUCAAAAUAUCCACUUUUUAUCUCUUAAAGUCAUGCUUGAGAGAAGGAAAACAAUUUUGACCCUCUGAAUCAUGAAUUUAAACAGGCACUUAAUGUUAUUAGAGUCACCCUUUCUUGAUGACCUUUCAAAGUUAACUUACCCUGGAAUUAGAGAAAAAGGGAAACAACAAAAUCUGGGGUUGACUUUUAAAUUCUAAAUUUUAUUUUCAUAAGAGUGCUGAGGUUUUGUUGCUAGUAAUACCAGAGAACUAAUUGUUGUUUAUUCUUUGUUCACAGGAAAGGAUAUUCUAUUGUAAUGAACACGUGGAAGAGAUAUGAUCUCUUAAAGCAGUCUAUCAAACAUUAUUCAUCUUGUCCUCGACUUGAAUCAGUACAUAUUGUGUGGAGUGAACCCAAUCCUCCUUCAGAAAGUCUUCUAAAAUAUCUGCACCAUGUUGUAAAGUCCAAGUCUAGAGACGGACGAUAUGUAAAGUUGAGGUUUGAUAUCAACACGGAAGACAGUUUGAACAAUAGAUUUAAAGAAAUUAAGGAUUUGGAGACUGAUGCUGUCUUUUCUAUUGACGAUGAUGUCAUAUUUCCUUGCUCUUCGGUGGAAUUCGCAUUUGAUGUUUGGCAAAGUGCACCUGAUGCAAUGGUGGGAUUUGUACCUCGUGUCCAUUGGGUAGAUUCAUUGGUAUGUAUGGUUUAUCUAUAUCUAUUUUUCAUUCCAUGAUUUUCAAUUAUCCUUGAUAUUUUGAUUACACAUUAUUACCUUUAUGCCUCUGCUUUUGGAAGUAAAACAUGAGCUAAAAUGUGAAUAACUAAUUAAGCUUGGAGCAGGGAAAUUCAUUUUUUAUAAUAAUCUUCAUGCAUUAUUUCCUGUUCUUUGUUUGAACUGCUACAUUGGCCUUUCAAGAUGUAGUUUUGCAGAACAUUGAAAGCAUACAUUUGUGAAACAUAUGGUAUGCAGAUCCAUUUAAAAAUUGAGCAUGAAACCUUACUGCCAUAAAACAACAAAAAUAGCACAUUUUAUAUAUUGCACGUGUAAUUUAGUUUCUAAAGCCGACCGUUAUUGUUAUAUGAGGACCUGUUAUUUUGUCCCUGUUGUGGAUCUAACUGAAAGGUAAAGAAAGUUGAACAUUUAUCAAAGAAGAAUUUCAUCUCUUAAAUCCAUGCUUCAAGUAGCUGCUAGUCAUGUUUGAUGCAUCUUUAAAUCUGAUGUGAACUUAUGAUUAAUGUCUUUUAGAUUUCGUUUAUCACUUUUCCCAUGUUCAGAUCAGAGAGAUAAAAAAUAUUUAAAAAAACCUGUAAGGCUAAUCUUCCAAGUUAUUCAAUGUUCUUGCAGAAUGGCGACAGCAACAAAUUUAGAUAUGGUGGAUGGUGGUCUGUGUGGUGGACGGGUACAUAUAGUAUGGUGCUCUCCAAGGCAGCAUUCUUUCACAAAAAGUAUUUCAGUCUCUACACAAAUGAGAUGCCAUCAUCAAUUAGAGAAUUUGUAACUAAGAACAGGUUUUUAUCUGAACUAAACAUCCCCCUGCUAAUUUUUUAUUUAUUUAUCAGACUUCUUUCAUAUUUAAUUCCAACCAUUUUGUUAUUUUCUCAAUAAUUCAAAUGAUUUACCAGGAAUUGUGAAGAUAUUGCAAUGUCUUUUCUUGUCGCGAAUGCAACCGGUGCACCCCCGUUAUGGGUUAAAGGUAAUCUAACAAUGCCGUAUCUUUUCACUAUUGAACAUGAGUUGCAUGAAUUUUCUCUUUUCAUUUUUCCUGUUUAGUUCAGAAGUUCCUCAACUUCACUAGCUCAAAAUGUAUAUGCACUUGUUUUCCCGUCUUUCUCCUUUCUGACAUUUGUAAGAUAGAUUUAUGGUAGAGAUCCAAUGAAUGAUACAUUAUUAGGGUCAGUAGAAACAUUCAAGCAAACCACAUUUUCAUAUUCUUCAUUGGCUGCUAGAAGCAGUUGUAGUUUGUUGUGAUCAAUUGAAUGAAAUUCUUCCCUCUCCUUCUUGGAUUAGAUGGUGUUUGCUAUCUUGUUAACAUGCAUAAAAGUUAUAGCAAUAGCAAAAGGAUGUAGCUGCAAUUCAGAUUUCCAGUCCUUGACUUUUUGUCCCUUUAUUACACCCUGUAUAUUGAAGCAAUUAGUACAACAAAUGUAAAACUGAGAUUGAAAUUAUUUUCAACUGAACAUACCAUAUAUGUUUCUUAUAAUUAAGGAAGUUAAAGUAUCGAUUCUUUUGUUCCUUUCUGUGGACCAAAUUGUGCAAUGAUGCCUAGCUAUCAUAGCAUGUUUUCAGUUAUCUUGAUUUCGUAUGUUUUGGCUUAUUUUGUGUUGCACCAUGAAACUUAUUUUUGAAACCAAUGACCAUGCUACCUAGUGUUUUGCGACAAGUUGUGUACACUGUCUCACCUUGUUAGGCUUUGUAUAAUCUUAAGUAUUGAUUGUGAAGUUCCAUGCUAAUGUUUGGUUUUAUGUUGCCCAUCAUGGUAAUACAAAUCAAACAUUGCCCUCGUUGGUUCUAAACCAUGUUAAUAUAUAUCACCCAUACAAAGAAAUGUCUUUUUUUUUUUUUUUUUUUGACAAACAUGUAUAUGAUGUUAACUUUGUGGAUUUUGUCUUUGUUACAGGUAAAAUAUAUGAGAUUGGAUCAACUGGAAUUAGUAGUUUGGGAGGUCAUAGUGAACGGAGAUCAGACUGUGUCAACAUAUUUACUUCUGUGUAUGGGCGGAUGCCCUUAGUAUAUACCUCAGUGAAAGCCGUUGAUAGUCGCAAUGUCUGGUUUUGGUGAUUGGUAGAUUGUAAUUUUCGUUGCAUUUUUAGAUAUUCCACUGUUGUCAAUUAUUGUUUAGUAGCUAGUUUUUUUUUUACUCUGUUUAGUUGCUAGUUGAGUUACCACGUUCACGUUAGUCAUUUAUAGCUGUAUGAUAUUAAAUUUUAUACACAAUUCUUGCUUUUUUACUCUGUUUAGCAAGUUCCUUAGGUUGAUUUCUUGUAAUAUUGAAUUGUAAUGAAAGGCAGCAUCCUCUGUAAGGGUGCUUUUUGUCUCAGAGAAUAAGGAUUUGAUUGUAGAAUAUUGAAAUUGAAGGAUAUUAAAAUUUUAGUAAUUGUAAUUUAUCUUGUGUGUAGAGUAGCAAAUAAAGUGCUAACACGGGUAAAUCAAACCACAGUCAGAAUGUACAAAUAUCAAUGACUAACAUUUUCUUCAAACUGUAAAAUGAACCAAAAAUAAGCAUCUAAUUCAGUUGGUUUACAUCGAGCAUUUGAGUACCGAACACACUCUAAGCUGCUCAUGUUUGUUGAAGGAGUGCAACUUAAACAACUUGGCGAUCACAUCAGCAAUCUGACCUUGUGUUUAACAAUGAACUAACACAAUACUUUCAUCUCUUGUGAUAUCAUUUAGAAAAUGUAAUUGACAUUGAUGUGUUUUCUAUGCCACUGGAUUUUACAGAGCGUAACAGGCAUCACAUAUUAGAGAGCUACUUUUGUCCCCUCACGCCCUUUCUUAAAAACCGAUCCUGUCUAGAUGCACGUUUCGGAUGGAAAAAACACCAUGUUCCUGCCGACAGAUAGAUAAUCCGAGCAAAUUGCUGACCGGAUUGGUUUUUAAUGGGGUAAUAUAACCAGCCCUCCACAUAGGGUCUUAGCUCCUAAAGUUAUAACCCUAAUUAAGUUGUUCUACUUUCACACUCUUCACCAAUAAAACAAUCCUCACAAACAAUAGAUAAUCUGAAUUAGCGGUUUAGUUUACAUUUAAUAGAAAACCUAAUGGUUCUACAAGGAUAUUGGGAUCUGUAAAUUGGGUGCUGCACAUUGAUAUUAACAUGUAAUAGAAAACCUAUAUAGUUUGCAUUUUCGAAACACAUUGCUACUAAUCCAAACUGUACACUAUGUGAUAGAGCUUGAAACUGUUAUACAUGUUCUGUGGGAUUGCAAUUAUGCAAGACAGAUAUGGAACACAAUUCUGCUACAACCUGGAAACAAAUUUUUUUGAUGAUGAACUGCUUGGAUGAAUAUGAACAUAUUUGCAAAUUGGACUGCACAUCAGAAAAAUAUAGCAACCUUUGUUGUUGCUUUGGACUGUAUUUGGAGAGCUAGGAACAAAAACAUUUUUGAGAAUUGUCCUCAUAAUUUUGAAGAUAUCUGCCAGGACAUUAAAACCAGAAGCAAUGAACUGAUCCAGGUAUACAAUCUGCAGCAAACAGUUCAGUCUGAUACUGAUUUUAACACUUCAGUCAGUGGAAUUGGUUGGCAAAGGCGAGUACAUUCUUGGUUUUGCGAGAAACAUCUGUCAUCAUGGCAGAAUUUUCUGCAGUAUUCUACGGUUUAAAAUUCCUGAAACCGAUUCGAUGGAGGCUUUGAGUAUUAUGCAAGCCAGGUGUGUCCAAAUCAUCCAUGUUGCGUGGCGGGGAAUCAUGUCCUUCGGGAAGUGAAUCAAGCAGCGGAUGCCUUUGCCAAGGAGGGAUUGAAUCAGUCGAUGCAAAUGCACAUUUUAAUCAAUCUUCCUACUUUUUGCUAUAGAGAGUAAUUAGUAAAGUGAGGAAAUCACUUAUUAAUGUUUUAACCACUCACGAUUUGUUAUGCAUGUGCAUAUAAUAUCAACUAUUGAUUUGGUUAUCAACGACUGGUAUUUCUCCCGAGUGAAUUGCUCUCUUUAGAGGAGCAUUAUCCAUUUAUAUAUAACCAUAUACAACUGUACCAUGAAUCACUAGCUGUAAUUGGAUAAAAAAACUACUUGGAUAAACAAAUUUCCACAAAACAAAAAACAAAAAUAUGAAGGAUAAAAAAACUGAAUUUAAAGUGGGAUAUAUAGAUGGAUAAUAUGGACAAUUGUCAUAUUUGUAAGUUAUCUAAUUCUUCUAUAGGAAAGCUAGUACUAUUCUCUUGCUGUCCACCAGUGUUCCAAAGGAAACUAGCAUACUUUGAUAAAUAGUAAGUGUUUCCAGGAUCUGCUUCCAAUGCUUGUAGAUAUCUCAGCUCUGCUGCCCAAUUAUCCUUUCUUAUCCACAACAAGAAAUCACCAUAUCUACAAUAUGCUUCAGCCUCUGGUGACUCCACUACCACUGAUUGCUUGUAGUAUUCUUCAGCACUGUAACCAUAUCAAAUGUACAAAAUAAGAAAAUUCAAUUAGUAAUGAAGUAUGUAACUCUUAAAACUUCAAAGAAUGAUGUCACUCUUGUUGCUAUUUGGUAAGAACUAGAAGUAUUUUGAAGGCUUAACCAAAACUAACCAAUCACACAUUUGCAUCUAAUUUGGAUUGUGUGCUGUGUGACUGCACGCAGUUAACCACAUGUAGACGAUCCAUAUUUCAAUGCACAUUUUGAUAUAUAUAUUUUUUAAAUCUAAAAUGUUGAGCUUGAAAUCUAAACCGUCUAAUUAGACGUGGCUAACUAUGCGCAGUCACAGGGUUGUUAAUACACAAUUCAAAUCCUUUUUUGUGCCUACCAUAUAUAAGCAUAAUGACUAUACAAUAAAACAUAAGGACAAUAAACAGCCAUAAUAUUCAGUUGCAAAUUUUCAUACUCAUAUUUGUCUGUCAACACUGAAAAAUGUCAUUUCAAUCCACUUUAGGCCAAAACAAAUACACUGAAAAUUACUAAUUUUAGCUUCAAAACAAAUAAAAAAAUUAAUCACCCCUUCAUUGCAUAAAGGAACAAACAAGCAUAUCAUAUGAUUCUUUUCUAGGUAUAUUUUUCUCUUAAUACAGAACAUGGUUUUAAUUAGCAGGCUGUAACAACAAAAUUGCAACUACAAUAUAAAGGAUUUUGAAGUCUAUGAACAGCUUCAACCGCAUUUUAUAGCAUAACCGCGACUGCAAUUUAAAACCAUGUAGCAACAACAUCUAAUACUAGCCAAAUUGUAAUACAUAAUUGGUUUAUGAGAACUCACCCAUCAUUGUCCUUCAUGACAAGGAAGAGAAACUGUGCAUAGUUAGACAGAAGAAGUGAAUUGUAAGGUGCAAGAUUUAUAUGCUUUUUGUAAUAAGCAUCAGUUUUCUCAUAUUCCUCAUAUUGAUCCCCUUCAAUCUCCACAGAAACAGGACUCAGAAACUUCAUCAUUGUUUCAUGAUCCAAAUCCUCACCCCUCAAUUCUCUUUGUAUCUUUGAAGCUUCCUCCAACAUAAAAUUCCACAACUUUUCUUCCUCUUCUGUCAACUCCUUCUUUACACCCACAUCUUGAACAACAUCACCAUGUAGAACUUCAUUCAUCAAUGAUGAGUUAUUGUUACUCAUAGAGAACAAAGAAAAGUUACUUAGGAAAACCAUAACAUCAACCAUAAGAGUUGGUGUUUCACUGAAAACCUGUUGAAACAACCAAACAAAUGAAUCAUCCAUUUCUCUAUUUAGCUUAACCAUAACACUUUCCAAGUCUUCACCACAAAGUAACUCUCUUGUUUGCAAAGCAUGAUUUUGAAGUUCAUGAAGCAUAAACAACAUAGACGAAAAACUCUUCUUAACAGAACAAUUAUUCAAUUUACUUGCUUCAUCUUUCAAACCUUCCUCUAAUUGUAACUUCUUCUUAAUCAUCCUUAUAGAUAAAGGGAUUCCAACACUUUUCACUUUUCUUUCAAAACUCAGUCUCAAAAUCUCUUCUCUCUCUGGCCAACUAGGUGGUUCAGGUUGAAUACCAAGAAAAGAAGGUUCCAAGAUUUCUCUUUUAUUUUCAUUACUGUGAAAAUGAAAAUCAUCAAAAAGAGAAGAAGAACAAGAACAAGAACGGUUUACUCUUUUACCCCUCAAGUUUCUUGAGAAGGAAAAACAAUUGAUUUUGUUCCUUAGUGGCAGAGAAGAAACUGAACGUGGUGAUUUCAAUGAAUCAGAGGGAAGAGAAUAAAGGGUUCUUAGUUUCCAAUAUUCAAGUUUGGGAGAGACACUUGAAGCCAUGUUUGGUUACAAAGUUUUUCAAGAAAUCAAAGAAAACAAAAACAAUGAUGAAUUUUACAAUAAAAAAACCCUUUUACCCAAAAAGAAAAUUUGAUCACAAUCAAGGGAAAUCCGUGCAUAUAAUAGAGAAAUUUCAAAAGGGUAACAUAAAAAGUUUAUCUUUUUGAUAUCAAAAGUCUAAUAAGAUCACUACAAUUUUUGAUAAAUUGAGAACACAAACAAAAAAAGGGUGAAGAAAAAAAAAUCCUUUUAUAGUAAAAAACAUGAAAAAAAAUCUAAGAGAAGGGGCAAGUUUUUGACUUUUGAGGAUGUUUUUGUUAUACUGAAGUUAUGAUGAAACAGUACAAGGUUUUGUUGAGCUGAAAAGUGGAGUGGAUAACACGUGGGGUCUCUAACAAACGUGGCAAUGAGAUAAAGUACGUGAGAUAUUUAUUUUUGGUAUGAAUUUGUGACUUUUUAAUGGAUUUUUUGCUUAGAUAUUUUGAUUGAUAAGUUUGUGGAUUGUGCACUUUUCUUUUGGUAAAAGGAUCAUGCACUUUUUGGGUUUGAAUGGUUCUUGAUCCGAAUUGUGAUGCCUAGUCAUAUGCAACUAUAUCACUUGGGAUGGGUAAGUCACAUAAUUCUAAACUACCGCAAGCUGGAUUUUUGGAAGGAUCGUUAAAGUAGAUAAAGAGGCGGGUCGGGUUUAUUUUGGCCACGUCCAAUCUUAAAAUUCAAAAAAUUCAAUUUAGUGAUGAGUGAGUUGGUUUGGAAGUGGCUGCGGAGUCUUUGGGUUUGGAAGGAGGAGAUGUUAGUGGAGUGUAGGAAUUACGGCAGCGACGUGUGGAGGUGGAUUCCCUGGUUGUUGGAUAUACAUUUAGAGGGGUAUACUGACUUCUCACUGCGAGGUUGUCCUGUGUUCAUGUAUCCGAGUCUCUAUUAUGGAGGAAGGAAAUUCCUUUGGAGAUUACCGUGUUCAUCGCUUACGAAUUCGUUUGCCUACCAAAUCAAAUCUGUAUCGUAGAGGCAUUAUCUCAUCCCAGAAUUUUCUGUGGUAAAGAGAGCUAUCCCGUGCAGCUCCUGAAAAAAAAAAAAAAAAAGUAAAGCUAUUGUCUUUUUGGUGGUUUAAAGCUCAUCAUGUUGUCUUUCAUUAUAGCUUUUAUAAUUGGUGCCAAAACCCAUUUCAUUAUAGCUUUUAUAAUUGAUGCCAAAACCAAUUAUUGGCUAAUUCAUACUUUUUGCUGUUUGAAAUACUGUUGUAAAUUUUGGCUUUCUUCUCGGUACACCUUGUGCCGGGAGGAUAGUCCUUUGGCUUUUUAUAUCAUUUUGAUUUAUUAAUUUUUUUUUUACCAGUUACGUGUUUCAUGACUUUAAUGAGCAUUAGCACACAUCUUCUAGUCUUUGACAUAAAAAAAAAAUAAGGUUGUAAUAACGAUAACGAAAGGUACGCGCUUUCAUCUCUCUCAGUGUGGUUAGCACUAGGUGUUUCCGAGCAGCGAGGCUUAAAAGAAAUUUUCUAAAAAAUGUAAUUAAAUGACAUUAUUUUUUAUGAAAAUUUCAAAACUUAUACAAUUUAAAAUUUUAAAACUUAUAAUGAUGAAAUACUUCUAAAUCAGUAUAUAAGUUUUAAACAAUUUUGUAAAAAAAAAUCUUAAAACAAUUUUUUUUUAACAUGUUGAGUCCGUGGCGGAUUCAUGAAUUUAGAAUCUUAAAUCCAUUGUUCGAAAAAACUGCUCCGGGUUUGAAUGAGUUUUGAAAUUUCUUAAAUUGUUGAUAAAAAUCACAUUUUUGCUUAUUUUCCUUCUAGUUGAUAGAGAUGUGUGUACUUUUAAUGUGGAUGCUGUGUAUGAACAACUUCACUUCACUUCUUUGUUCAUUUUUUUCCUUUAUGUUAUUGAUAAUUAAUUGGAUAAUUGUCAGAAUAUCAUUCUCUUUUUAUUUAUUUAUGUUAUUCAUAUCAUUCAUUUCUUUGUUUACUUAUUUAUUUAUUUAUUUAUGAUCAAGGUUGUUUCAAUUAAAUUAGAGGUUCCACUCUAAUAUUAAAAAUGGACUCUAAUAAUAAAAACUAUGGUAAUUUGAACAAUUAUAACUUAAUAAUAAACAUUAUUUUGAUUUUAAUUUGUUUUGUUGUUUUUUUUUUUGUUGUUGGUGGAUUUUUCUAUUCAUUUAGAGUAGUGCUAUAUAUUUAUAGCGAAAACAUUUAUCUCAAAUUUUUCACGAACAACCAUAGUUUCACAAGACCGACAUAAUGAUAAAGGAAUGGCGAUGAAGGACGACAAAGGAAAGCUACGCAUGGCGCGACGUGAUCGAUGAAAGACGCACACGAUGAUGAUGGGAUAAACAAAGACACACGUUGCUUUGGAAAGGUGUAAGUUCAACAGAGAAAGAAGUCGAAAACGUUUGGAUACAUCGUUCGUGAAAAUAUCGCUAUUGUUUUUGUCGCGAGAUUUAGCAUUUUCCAUUCUUUUUUAAUCAAAUAAUAAGUGUUUGAUUUUAAACAUGAAACAAAAAUCCUUAACAAAACAAUAAAUUUCCAUAACCCUAAACAUAACAUUUUAUACAAAAAGCAAACGUGAGACAAAAAUAAAAACUAUUACAGCUGAAAGGAUGAUUUUAAAUGGUGAGUAAGGGUUGUCUCCUAAAAGUUUCCUGAAUUAGAAUUGCACUUUAGCUACAUUAUGAGAAUAAUAAUAUUUUUUCUUGAUUCUCCCUUUGUUCUUUCUUUCAUAUCAUUUCAUUGUGUGUGUAAUUGAAGGGUUCAUCCUUACGACCGAAGAAAGACUAGGGUUUAAGCUGGUUAUAAUGUGAUCGUUUUACCUUGAACGAACGGUGGAGUUUAGCAUGGGAAAGGAUAAUUGUUUCCUACCAUGGGAAAGUUAUUUUUGACCAUUAGAUUAAGUUGCUUUAUCAUAGACUCUCUACAUUAUAUUUUUUCCUUUCACCUUCAUCACUCAUCCACCACCACAAACUCAUUCACCAUCACAACCUUUUGCAAGAUCAGACCAACCAUCGCUACCAUUCCAACGACCUUUUUUACAGCAGUGCCAUUCCAACAACUUAACACAGUUGGAAGAUGAAAAAAUACCCAAACUUUGUUCAUAAAAAUACCCAAAUCUGAUUCUGAAUAAUUUUAGUUUUUGAUGUAUUUUUUAAAAAAAUGAUUUAAUAAAUAAUAUUAGUUUGAAUAAGUUUUAUUUUAGAAACAGUUGGGAGAGGGAAAAAAACUGCCGUGAAUUUAUUUGUAGAAGGUACGUCGUAUAUCAAUUGCUCCCUCCUUGUUUCUCAAACUUUCUUCCACGUGGGAAUGUAUUUUGCAGUACAUCCUGUAACAUUUUGAGAUAAAUAAGGUUCAUUAAGGAUGAUUUUUGAGUAUGGCUUCCAUAUUAUCUGGGAGAUGAAUUUCAGUCAUAAAUUGAAGAAAAGAACAUAAUAAAGAAGAACAAUGAUAGAUUGAAUUCUAUGAAACAUUCUCACUUUGAACAGCAGCCUAUUUUGUGUUGCCGUGAAUUUAUUUGUUGUUUCUAUAAUUGUGAGUGAAGAAAUGAGAUUCAUGGCAAUAGGUGUUGGUGGAUGUGGGUCAAUUGCAAUCUCAUAGAGGUUGAAGACUGUGUUUGAAAAAGAAAGAUAUGGUGUGGAAAGACCCUGAUAAAGAUAUGUUCCUUACUUAAUCUAAUGGAUAAAAACAACUUUUCCAUGAUGGAAAACAACUAUCCUUUCCCAUGCUAAACCUCACCUGAACGAACACGUUCGAUUUAGAAGAAAAAAAACCAAAAACUUAUCUAUUUUUUUUUUGUUCAGUAAAAACAAGAAACAAAAACCCUAAACAAAACAAGCAAUGUCUAUAACCCUAAACAUUGAAAUUUUAUAUUAGGCUAAAUUGCAUUUUUGGUCCCUUAACUAUUUAGGUAGUAUCGCUUUGGUCCCUUAACUAAAAUUCGAUUUAUUUUGGUCCUUUAACUUCUCUUUGUUACAUAUUUUGGUCCUUUCCGUUAAUUUUAAUUAAAAAACAUUAGGUUUUCUUCAUCUUCUUCUCCUCUUUUUCAUCUUCAUAUCAUCUCCAUCAACCUUCAACAACAAGAAUCUCAGAAAAAUUCUAGAAGAAAAUGGAGAAAACCUAACGUUUUUGAAUUAAAACUAACGGAAAGGACCAAAAUGUGUAACAAAGAGAAUUUAAUGGACCAAAAUAAAUCGAAUUUUAGUUAAGGGACCAAAGUCAUACUACCUAAAUAAUUAAGGGACCAAAAAUGCAAUUUAGCCUUUAUAUUAAAUACAAAAUGAAAAAAAAAAAAAUCAAAAACAAUUACCAUUGCAACCAUAAAGCUUAUAUGAUUGGGCACAAUUUGUUUCCAAUCAGAAAAAUACGAUGCUUCAAUUUCAUCUUUGCUUUGCAUGAUUAUUACCAUCAAAAUUAAUUUCAAUCUUUCUUCCCAAUGUAAAAGCUCGUUGAUUCCAUUAUGCAUUAUCAAUUUUCACUCUGGUCCUACUACACAUAAACCCCCAAAUCCUUUUACAUAGCAAAAUCACAGCCACAUGAGUAAGCUUAUGCAAUCAUGGUCAAAAUUAGCAACGAAAAGAACACUGAGCGCUUACAAAUAGAUUCUGGUGAUAAGUGAAUUAUGAUGCUUUUAUGUUAUCUAUUUGAAAUUAUUUCUAAAGUUCGUCCACAAUUUUUUUUCCUGCAUUUAAAUUAGAUCAUGUGAACUCGUCAUAUUUUUGAAUAGUUUUUUUUGCCACAUCAUUUAAAUUAGAUCAUUAAAUGAGUUUUUUUAGAAUGAAUCAUUAAAUGAGUUAAAAACCCACAAUUUGUCAUAUCUCAUUAAUUGAUGUGGUCACAAAUUAUAAAUGUAAAAAUUUGUACCUGUUAUGAAAAUAAGUAAAUAGACAUGAUAAUAAUAGAGAGAAGGAGAAGAAGAGAGAAUAGGAGCAGUAUUCUUAUUCACUGAUGUGUAUCUCAAUGUUACAAAUGAGCUCUAUUUAUAGGGAAAUAGAGUAGCCUAUGAAUUAAGCCCAAUAACCUAAUAGUAUGGCCCACUAACACAUUUGCUAUUUGGACAUCCACUAUUAAUAUUUAUAACACUCCCCCUUGGAUGUCCAUUGAGGAUAUGCCUCAUUAAAACCUUACUAGAGAAAAACCUAAUGGAAGAAAAAUUCUAGUGAAGGAAAAAGAGUACAAUAUCCUUUUUGUGUAUGAUAAUCUGCCUCGUUAAAAACCUUACCAGGAAAACCCAAUGGGACAAAACCAUGGUUAAGGGAAAAAGAGUGCAGAACACAUUUAUGUCUCCCCCUCAUAAAGACAAUCAUCUAUGAGACGAAGAAAGUCAAAUAAUAUUUGUUCUAGUUACUCAAAAGUUUACUUGCAGCGACUUUGUUGAAAUAUCUGGUUUAUCUUCAUAGUCUUCUUCAAAUUAGUAGUGCUUGAGAAGUUUCUUCAUAUUGAGUUGUUGCAAGACCCCCUUUAAGAAAUCAACAAGUUUCUUGUACUUGUAAAAUCAUCAUCCUUAAUAAAAGAGCGUUCUUCACUUCCUUGAUUAUGUUGCUUCUUUAAGAUACAAAAUAUAUGCUUGACUUUGUUUUGAUAUCUGUAUUUACUAACAUUGGCAAAGCAAAAUACCACAAUAAAUAUCAUUAACAAAAUACAUUGAUGUCCUCGUUUGAACUAAGAUAUGGUACUUCAGGACCAAUUCAAGUUGUUUAUCAUUUUCUUGUGGACAUGAUCUAUACUAAUAUCAAGUGACAUCACAAUCAUUAUAGUACACAGUCAACUAGAUGUGUCCAUAUCAAACACAUUUGUUAUAUAAGUUUCUUGAUGCACAAAAUCUCAAUUAAAUAAUAAAUCUGCAAACCCAAACAAACUUUGUGCAUGCAGCAUAUUUAAUUUCAAAUAUUUCUAUAAUCAAUAGAUGUUAGAAUCUCUUCAGGAGUUCAAUAAUAUUUAUUCCAUCAUCAUUAAAAAUGAUUAUAACAAAUUCAUUUUCAAAGAUUUAGAAUGGACAUAUGAUGUCAUUUCUUCAAUAUCUCACGAAAAUUAAUUUUAUCGGAGAGUUUCAUAUACUCAUCACUAUCACGUGAGUCAUACAACUAUAUUGCAACACAUCUUUCAUAUAAAUUGAGCCUUUCAUGUAGUACUAAACUUAAUCAAGCAAGAAAAGGUUCUUGAAUUAACUUCAGGUAAAUAUGUCUCUUAAACAUAAACGUUAGACAUAUAUCAGCUCACUUCCGAUGAACAUAUCAAACUCUUUACAUAUGUAUUUUAUCAAUGUAAUUCUCUUUCGCGCGAAAAAUCUUAUAUAUCUAAUUAACUUCACAUCUUCAAGUGUGCGGACCACAAGUCCAAAAAGUUCGACUUUACAAAGCGAGUUUGAUUUCAUGUUUUAAUCCAUGAUCCUCGUUAACACUCAUCACAUAUAGCGCUAUGUUAUAAGCAAAAACACCGUCAACGUUGACUUUAAAUUUUGUUCCACCUCAUUCCAUUCAUGACAUAAUUUAUCGAGAUCUCUUUAUUUUUCAUACAUCUCAGGUACCUGGUUGGUUCUUCUGGAACUUAAAAUCAAAUAUGUCAGAUGACUCUUUUAGAGUUUACACAUCCUUAUUUGGGUUAUCUUUAAUUUUAGCUCCUUUUAUUGUUUGAGGAUUUUAUAUGUGGAAUUGAUUGGUCUACCACGCUUCAUGCGCAGUUGAGACUCAUUUGCAAUAAUCGAUAGGGACAUCUAUUUCGAUUGGAGCAUUAGCAGCUGCUUAUUUUAUUUGUUUAACUUUGCAAACGAGUUAUAUUUUGAGGAUCAAGAUGAGACAAUAAUAUUUUCUUUCAAAUAAUUCAUUUGAACUUCAGGUUCACAUUUUCAGCUGCUUAUUCUCUCCCCCUAAUAUUGGGAAAACUAAUCAGCCUACUAGGCUGUAAACAAGUAGGCUCAAUACAAUUUAUAAUAGAUGAAGAUUCAUAUCAAAUAGAUUUUCCCAAUAUUCUAUCAUAUUCAAUCUAAGUGCAUUAUAUUGGAGUAAUUGUGAUAGACACAACACAUCCAAAAAUUUACUUAGGUGAGAAAUAUUAAGCUCUUAACCAAAAUAUAAAUUAUAAAAUAAGGGGAGGACUUACAUAUGGUAACUUAUUGGCUUGAUGCGAAUCAAUAUUUCAACAUAUUGGUUAUUCCCAAAGUAGAGUUUUGAAGGUAUGGUCUCAUAAGUAUAAAUCAUACAAUUAACUUUAGACGUCUAAAGAAUGGAUCUUCAAGUCCAUUUUAUGAGCAUAUGCUACAAGUUGUUUAAUGUCAAUUUCAAUUGAUAAAUGAUACUUAUCAAUGUUUUUUUUGAAAAGUUCAGAAAAUAAGCUCUUUGUCAAAUUUGUUGACAAGAUAAUCGCACAAACUUCUGGUUUGUGGGUUAAUAAUAACCAUACAUGUCAUUUAGUUCAUCUAUACUUUCGAUGUAUUGAUUCACAAAUAUCAACUUAUAUGCAUUUACAUAUAUUGAGAGACCAAAAUCCUCAAAUUUUCUACUUUGAAAAAAAUAGUUAAGACAUAAAAAGUAUUUUAUUGAAGAAUCUUCUGGCUCUUCAAUACAAGUUAUUUAUUUUUCGCAUCAUAACGAAUCCGGGAUAACCCAACCGGUAUUGCCAACUACAAACUUAAUAUAAUUUGUAAACUUCUGGUUUACAAUAAUAUGUGAUUCCGUUGCACUAAUAUAAGUGUAGUACAAAUCAGAGGAAAAUAACUUUUCCACAACACUUAUUUUCUUCAGAGUAUAUUUCACCGAAUAACAAAUGAAAAAAUCAUGCUCUUCAGAAGCCUUCAUUAAUCAUGUAGUUCUUGAGGAACUAUAUCAUAAAUGAUCAAGAUAAAUCAUUAUUUGAGCAAUCUUUAAUACACUUAAAAUGAGCAUUCUAAACAUGAUUUGUAAACUUCUGGUUUACAAUAUUACGUGUUUGAUAUGUUCUUUCUUAUCUAUUUGAUACAAUAAUGACAAAAAAAAAUAUAUCCAAGUGAAACAAUAUAAUAAAUAUUCUAAAUUUAUCUUUUGCAUUACUAUACAUAGAAAUAUAGAUUACCACAAAAUUUCUCCAAUAAACAAGACUUUAUAAAUCAUACACAUUUCUCAGAUGAGUAAUAAGGCAACACAAACUGUCAAUAAGAUAUAUUUUCAAAGUUUGACAUAAGAAAAUAUGGAUAUCUCUCAUCUAAUAUUUACGAGAUAAAAAUCUCGUGGAAUAAGGAAGAAGAAAAUCUUAAUCAAAUAUAUUUUUGUUCAUAAAAUAAGAGAACAAUCUUGCAAAUUUAUGAAAGAAAACAAAGCAUAGAAGUUUAAAAUAUUACCUCAAACAAAAAUUCUUUGAUACUAAUUUUCAACUCAUCUAAGUUCAUACUAGUGGAACUUUAUGACCUUGACAUUUAUCAGAUUAAUAGUAAUCUCUGCUAAAGAAAUUACUAUAACCAUAACAUCUGUUAUAUAAAACAAAUAGCAUGAAUCAUUUACUUCUGGAAACAAAGUUCAAUUUAUAAUGUGGCCUUUUAACAUUUUAAUCAAUAACCAUUCUUUUCUCAAUUAUAAAUUUUAACUAAUAUUUCAAAAAUUCUUGAAGAUAUUUUCUCAAUUUUGCUACUUCAGGAGCAUAUUUGAGUGGUUCUUCAAUAUGAAGAUCAAAUGGCUUAAAUGUGUGGUUCUUCAAGAACGCACCAUCUAACCUUCAUGACUUUUGAGGUUAACAAAUAGAUCUUCUGAAUUAUGAUCAUGGUUUAAAUGUAUAGUUCUUUCAAAACUCAAACACAUAUAUAAUAUAUUCAUAGCUGUGGUGUAGUUCCUCAGGAACUUACAAUCAAAUCUAUACAUUAUUCUUAAAAAUAAUAAAUAAAAAUCAGAUUUAUUAUGGAGAAAUUAGCUGCCAAGGAUUAAGGAAACAAACAACCACUUUUAAGAUAUACAGUGACGUGCCAAAUUUAAUCCAUAAUAUUAGGGGAAUUAAUUUUCGGUUUUCAAAACAUAACAAAAAUGUCAAACACAUGCUUUCAAACUUUUUUUUUUUUUUUUUUUUUUUUUUUUUUUUUUUUUUACAGCCCAAAUGGAUGUUUGAUAUUAAAGUAUUAGUUCUUCAGGAACUAUGCCACAAAUCUUCAUGAACAAUGAUUGAGAUAAUUCAUUCCUUAAGUAGUCCUUUAGGUAUGCUUUUAAUAAUAUGUUUAUUUUAGUUCUUCAAGAAAUAUAUCACAAAUGUUUAUAACCAAUGAUCUUUUUUAAAAAAUUAUUCUUUAAGUAAUCCUUCAAGAAUGUGCUAAUAAUAAACAAUUGUAGUUCUUUGGGACUAAAUCAUAAAUGAUAUUAAUAAACAAUGAUAAAAAAUUGCUUCUUUAAGCAAUCUUUCAUAUACGCUUUGAUAUUAAAAAAAAAAAAUUAGUUCUUCAAAAAUAAUGUCACAAGAGAUCAAGAAUCAAUCAAUGAUAUUAGUAAUUACAAUAAUAAAAAUCAUAACUAUAAAAAUCAAGAACUAAUUAAUGUUAGUAUCUCAUAUUUAAAGACAAAUGAUAUUACCAAAUCAAAUGUGUUAAGAGCAUUAAAAAAAAUAUUGGCAAAUCGUAUCAAAAUUAAGGGGAUAGAAUGCCUAAACAUUAAAACUAACUUUUUCCCUUUAUUUUCUAAUAAGUUACAAACUAAUAAUACUAUCAAGUAGAAAUCAGUCGAUACACCUAGUAAAAUAAUUUCGUGGCUAAAUAACAGUUGUCUAUCCGGUCAACCAAAUAAUUCUAUGUUUGUUACUUAUACUAGAUUUUUAAGCCAAAAUCUUGGAUUGAAAACUAACAAUAAUCGAAACGCAACACCAGGUAUCAAAACACAAUAAACAAGGUAUUUUUUUGUUUAAUUUGAAAAAAAUGCAAUAAUGCAGACAACAAAAAAUCCACUAGUGCUUCAUGCAUAAAUCGUAAUUGAUCUCAAUUCAUUCAAUAUCAAUUAUAUAUGCAAUCCUGCGGGGAAGCAAUAAAAAUUGAGUUUUUAAGUUCUUCAUGAACUAUAAACAAUCAUAUCAAUUCUUUUGCCAAUAAUUCAAAGAUGCUUCACUAUUGGAUUGAAUUCUGCAAGAAUUCACUGAGUUCUACAGUAACUUUAUAAUACAUCUCAAUAUGAGAUGAAUCCUCAUGCCUUCUAAAAAAACCAAUCCUUGUGCAAUUAAUCCUUCAAUGAGUGGACGUUGAAUUCUGCAGGAAUUCAUAGCUGAAAAAAUAGUUUUUUUUUUAAAAAAUUCUUCAAGAACUAUAUACCAAAUUUGAUAAAACAUUUGUUCAAUCCUUCAGGGAUGCAUUUACUGUUGAAUUCAUCAGAAAUUCAAAAAAAAUUUGAUCCUUUAAGGAUGAUCUAGGUACUGAAUUCUUUAGGAAUUCAUUAAGAAGAUUUUAUAUGUGCAAUCCUUCAUGGAUGAAUUAGUAUUAGUGUUGAAUUCUUCAGGAAUUCGUUAAGAAAAUUUUGCAGGGCACAUAGAUACCAUGAAUAUCAUAAUCGAAUGCCAAGAGAAAAACAAAGAAACCAAUUUUAAUAAUUCUAUGCAAUCACGUUGAAUAGCAAAACAAACCACGAAUCAGUUAAAUAGAUUAUAUUAAUACCUUAGAGCGUGCUGAUAACGUGUUAUGAAAAUAAGUAAAUAGACAUGAUAAUAAUAGAGAGAAGGAGAAGAAGAGAGAAUAGGAGCAGUAUUCUUAUUCACUGAUGUGUAUCUCAAUGUUACAAAUGAGCUCUAUUUAUAGGGAAAUAGAGUAGCCUAUGAAUUAAGCCCAAUAACCUAAUAGUAUGGCCCACUAACACAUUUGCUAUUUGGACAUCCACUAUUAAUAUUUAUAACAGUACCGAUGAUAUAAAUUAAACUCUUUUUCUCCUUUUUUUUAAACAUUUUUUUAAACUCUUUUUUCCUUUAAAACAUAAAUUAAACUCUACUUUAAUUUUUUUUAAUUAUUAACAUGUUUAAGGGUUAAAUAUGUUUUUAGUCCAUACAAAAUUGAGAGUUUUCAACUUCAGUCCCUAUAAAUUUUUAUUGAAAAUUUUAGUCCUCAAUAAUAUUGUAGUUUUUUUUUUGGUAGUGACUAAGGUUUGAACCCUGGACCUUGCAUAUUUUAUGCAUUGUCCCAACCAACUGAGCUAAGCUCACGAGGACAUAAUAAUCUUGUAGUUUGUAAGAAUAAUCUCUAUUUUGAAAACUUUUAACAAAAAAUCUAUAUUUUUAGACUUUCAAAUAAGUCCUAUAAAAUAUAUAAAUAGGGAUUAAAAGUGAAUAAAUUUUUAUAGGGACUAAACUUGAAAGUUUUUAAUUUUGUAGGAACUAAAGACAUAUUUAACCCAAUGUUUAAUUCAUUUUUCUUUUACAUUUUUAAUAAAAUAUUUUUGAAUUUUAUCCUUCUUGUUCUCUCUUCUCUCUUAUAAAACAUUUGUUGACCUCCACAUUCUCCUCCCAAAUCUAAACCUUGUUUAUCAAGAUAUAGCCGUUGAAGUAGGGUGGUGCGCUCGCCGUCUUCAUGGAAGCACCACUCAAAACCCUGAUCGGGGUUGUUUCAUAGAGGUGGUUCCUUUAGUGUUGGCUUCUAUGUCAACGAUCUGGGCUAGAUCUAUAAAUCUGGUUUGAAGACCCUUAUGUUCUAUGGUUACUGUCUUCGUCGUCGGUUGGGUUAAAUCGUGGUAAAGGUUGUUUUGGUGUGAGAUUGGUCCCCUUUCAUGCUAGGUUUCUAAUGUAGGUUUCUAUGAUCAGAUCUUUAUAUUUUUUUGGUUCGAUGGGCUUUUCUUUUCGGUUCUUCACCAAGAUCUGUUCAUGAGUUCAUCUUUGUAUGGUGUUGAUCUUAUUUGUAGGUUCUUAAAUGUUUUCUCAAGCUUUGAUUUGGGUUGUUUUCGAUUUGAGGUUGGUUGCUGAUUGUUAGUUAGAAAUGGAUGUUAAAGCUCGUCGUUGGCCUCACUAGGUUGUUAGGUUAGUGGAUUCGUUACCGUGUUGGUGGUCGAGUUCAUUUACUGCUCUCAAAAUCUGGAUUCGUUGUUGAAUAUUUAGUGAAUGAGUAUAUAUAUUUUGAUUUCUUCAAAAAUAAGCACUUAUGAAUUUAAGUAGAAAAAUAUAUUGUUUUUUUUUAAGAAAUAUCAUCCUUCGUGUGUUUCGUGUCUGCCUUAUUUGUAACAUUCAGCAUUAUCCAUUAAGAAAAUAACAUGUUAUGAUCCUUUUGGGCUGACUUUUUCUCUUUUUUAAAAUUACCCUUAACUUUCACACAAAUAACACACACACACACACACACACACACACACAUGUAUCUAUACUAUAUAUAAAGAAAACUACCUUUUUCAGCACUUUUGGGCUGAAUUUUUCUUUCCAAAAAUACCAUUAAUUUUCAAUACAAAUAACACAUGUAACUAAUAGAUAAGAAUAGUGUAAAUAUCAAAACAAAUGUAACAAAUCGGAUAUGAAUAUAUAUAGAGGAUGUAUCUUAUGAGAAUGAUUAUAAACCAUUAGAUCUAAAAUAGAUGGUUAAGAUCUAAUGAUUUAUAAUCAUUCUCACAUAAGAUAAUCAUUCUCAUAAGAUACAUCCUAUAUAUAUCGGUCACAUGAGUGCAAUAAAAAACAUAUAAUCAAAAUCAAAAUUUCAUAAAAAAAACAUCGAUCAUAAUUUUCAAACGUUAGCGCAAUAAAAAGAGCGAAAAGAUGGGCACAUGAAUGUCUGUCUUUUCGCUAGUAUAAAUACAUAUAUAUAUAUAUAUAUAUAUAUAUAUAUAUAUAUAUAUAUAUAACAAGUAAAUAAGAAUAAAUUUAAAUAAUUUAAUAAAAAGUGUAACAAAUCUAACAAAAAACAGUGUAACAAACUAGAUGAGUAUAUCUAUACUUAAUUUUUUUUAUUAUCUCAAUUAUACCCUUAAAUAACUUUUUCUAUAAUAAAGAUAAAGAUUGUUGCUGGUGUUAUUAAAAAAAUUAGAAUUUAUAUUAUAUAGUUUUGUUAUUUUGUUAGUGUCGUUGAAAUAGAUACUUUUUUAAUUUUUUUUGACAAGUAGAAUACUCUGAUAUCCAUGAAAAAAUAUGAAUACCUUUGUUAUAUGACAAAAUAUCAAGAAAAAUAGUUAAAUACUUUAAGAAAUUGACUGUCCAUCGAGAAAAAAGAUUUGACUUCGUUCUAGAGAAAAACAUAAAUGACUUCUUUUAUGUUGACUAGUAACUAACUGAUCAGAUUUUGGUAAUGUAAGCAAAUAUUGAGUCCGAAAAAAAUAAAGAUAAUAACAAAUUUUGCACCGAUCUUUCUUUCAAAAAACAAACUUUUCACCGAUAUUAAAUCGCUUAUUUAUACUUGUUUGAAAAACCCUAAUCAUAUUUUCUGGCGCUCUCUUCAUAACAAAUCUUUUCUUCUCUUCCAAUAGCUUUAUCGCUUCCCCCAUGGAUCCUCAGGAACCCAAACGCGUUGAUCGAGAAAUCUGGCAGUGCUUGGCCGGACCAUCGUUCAAAAUUCCGAAACUAAAUUCUCAAGUUUUUUACUUUCCACUAGGUCACUUGGAACAUGCCUGCCCUUCCCCUAACACUGAAGCACUCUCCCUUAUCAAUAGUUACCGUCCCAUCAUUCCGUGCGUCGUCUCCGACGUUGAUCUCUUAGCUGAUCUUCAAACUGAUGAAGUCUUUGCAAAACUGAUCCUAACUCCCAUCACCAAUGACAGUGUUCACGAACCUCAGGAGCCUGAGGUUCGUGAAAAUGAACAUGGUGGUGAUAGGCUUGUUUUCUCUGGCAAGACUCUCACCCAGUCGGAUGCUAAUAAUGGCGGUGCAUUCUCCGUACCUUCUGAAUGCGCGAAAUUGAUAUUCCCGCCACUUGACCUAACAUCCCCAAUGCCGUCUCAGGUACUUCCGAUCAAGGACAUCCACAAUUUUGUUUGGAACUUUCGCCACACCUACCGUGGGUCUCCCAAGCGACACCUAAUCACCACUAAAUGGAGUAAGUUCGUUGACACAAAGAAAAUUAUUGGCGGCGAUUCCCUCGUUUUAAUGAAAAUUUCUAAAGAUAAAGAUAAGGAUAAGAUCUUCAUCGGAAUCCGCAGGCACAAGUUAAGUGCUGCUGCUAAGAUAACGGAAAAAUCCGUUAUGGAGGCAGCAGAAUUGGCGGAUAAGAAUAUGACUUUUGAAGUUAUUUAUUAUCCGACGGCUAGUCAUUGGUGUAAUUUUGUGGUGGAUGCUGAAGCCGUAAAGAAAGCAAUGCAGAUUAAUUGGCAAUCUGGAAUGAGAGUUAAACAUUGCUUGAAGACUGAUGAAUCUUCAAAGAGAAGCUCAAUUUUUCAAGGGACAGUAUCUGCUCUAUCUGAUCCUUCUCAUCAUCCAUGGCGUAUGCUUCAGGUAUAUAUGAUUUCUUCUUUUGGUGUAUAUUAUUUCAAAUGCAUAUAAUGUUAUGUCGUAUAUUUUUGUUCCAUAAAUGUUGUUACAGUUGAAGUUGAUAGAUAACUUUCCAUAAUUAGAUAAUGCAUGGUUCAUUCAAUCGGUAGCUUUGCAACUAGUAUAGGAUAAGUUCCAGUGUGAUAAUAUUAUUUGUAUAAUUAUGACUAAGGCGAAUUAUUGUUUAUCCUAACAAAGAAAGAGUGCUCAAUCAAUCAAUCAAUACCACUUGAGUUGGUAUAGCGGUAUUGGCUUGGGAUAUGAGAAUGUGCUCUUUCUCAGGGUUUUGAGUUGGUCUAGCGGUAUUGAAAAAAUUGACUAUUUCUAAUCUUAUAUUAUUUUUUCAAUUUUUUAAUUUUUUAAUUUCUUUUCUUUUAUAGAGACUAUUUCUCAUCCUUACCACUUUUCAUCUUAAUAUCAUAGGUUAACUGGGAUGAAUCUGAAGUCUCUCAGAAUCCAAGUCAAGUAAGUCCUUGGCAGAUUGAACUUAUUUCCCACACUCCAGCACUGCCUCUACAAUUCCCCCCACAAAAAAAGCUUAGAAUUGCUCAUGUCUCUGCCUUAUCAACUAACAUAGAGAGACCCUCCAUUCCAGAGAUAGAGUUCAAUUUCUUCAACCCAGCGUCAAUGAAUUGUGAUGCUUUUCUUAAUAGCAUGCAGGGAACCAGACCUAAUCUUUUUUCUGCCUCAACUUCUUCAACCUCUUUGAAUGAUAAUGACAAUGGUUUUGUUGAAGGUACCCACAACCUCAACACCAAAAAAGUUAAUCCUCGUUCUAUUAAGCUAUUUGGUAAGACCAUAGAGGUUGUUGAAAAGGAUUUGCAUGAGUCUCGUAUCAAUGGAGAGGAUGGUUCCGAUUAACUGUUUUUUGGUUUUUAGUUGGCUUUUGUUAUGUUGGUUUUCAUCAAAAGUAGUGAAGUUGUAAUGUUUCUUUGGUCUCAAACUAGUGCCACGGGUUUGUGUUAUAGAAUCAUUAACUUCAUUCACAAAUUUCCUAUUUAGGAAAUAGACCAAUUUAUCUCUUUUUCUUUUUAUUUUUUAUUUUAUUUUUUAUAACAUCUCUUUAUAAUUAUCAUUCAGUAAAGAAUAAGAUAUUGUAGUUGAAUUUAGUGCUUAAACUAUCUAAAUAUAAUAAGUAAUGAAUUUAUAAAAUCUUUAAAUUUAAUCUCUUCUAGAUGUUAUGGACUAAAUAGAGAAAUUUUAUAUAUUUUAUGGAUUAAAUUAACGCAUUUCAUAUGCUUUACACAACUUAUUAUGUUUAUAUAACUUAUGGACCGGAUCGAAAUGAUGUGAUAACUUAGGUACUAAAUUGAUAGAUUUUUCUUUAUUUAAACUCUUUCAAAUCUUGAUGGAUUUCCUAUAGUUAAAAUGACAGGGAGAAAAAAUUGAAUGUAGUUUGCAUUUAAUUUCUUUUUGAAAAAGAUGAUUUUUUGAAAAAACAUAAUUAAAUAUGAUAAAAUUUGGUAUUUUUUCCUAUAAUUUGGGACAAAGAAAAUGAGCUUUUUUUCUUAAAAUUUGGGACGGAGGGAGUAGUAAUUAAGGAAGGGAAAACUAAAAAGUGAACAAUCAUAAGACGUAUCUGAGAUGUGUCGGAGGCGUUUCAACGACGUAUCGGAAUUUUUAAUUUAUUUUUAAAUUAAUUUUUUUUUUAUACUCCUUCGAUACAUAUCGAUGACGUAUCAGUGCGUAUCAAGUACGAUUCGCUGGCCAUUUAGAUGUAUACGUGCUGCAUAGGUUUUAUUUUACAAAAAUAAACAAUAUCCAAUAAUUAAAUAUUCAUAGAGUACAUUGAUACAAUACAAAUUCAAAGUCGUAAAAAAUAAAAAGGAUGAAUUUGCGAACAAAUUCAAGUCUCCAGAAUAACCAUGUCUCCAUAUCUGCAUCGUUGACGACGCCAAAGUUAUUGAUUGGAUCUGUACUUGCUCAAAGCUAACCUUUCAACCGGAAUCAAAUAAACAUCGCAUAAAGACGGGAAAUCAACAAACACACUGCACAAAGACGGUAAAUCAAAACAAAUUAGAGUCGUGCAAAGACGACAAAAUCACAAAAACAAACGAAAGAAGACUGAAAAUAUAUUAAAAAAAUCACUUAUUUGACUAAAAAAGAAGAAAAAAUAAUUCGGAGAGGUGAUUUUGAGUCAAAAAUGACCGUAAAUCACCUAUUUUCUGUAGAUAAAAAGAAGAAAUGUGGUGACGGUUAGAGUUUGAAAAAGAGAGAAGAAAGAAGGUGCUUCAUAGGUGGUGUUAAGUAAACAUAAUAAUAACCGUGGAAUACUACAUUAAAUUGAAAGAGCAUAACCCCAAGAGUUAUAAGUUUUAGGAAAAAAAACUUAGUUACAAUAACUUAGGUGUUUUUUUGUAUGGUUUAUAACUAAAUUUACCAUGAUUUUAUCAAAUCCAUAAUUUUCUUAAAGUUUAUUAUAUCUAAAAAAAUGUGUAUUUUUAGGUAAGAACUAUACAAAAAGCAUCUAAUAAAUUGUAUCUAAGUUUUGUCCUAAGUUUUAACAAAUCCCGCAAAUGUUCAUUGCAUAUACGUUGACUAACUUAUUAACAGCUUUUUUGACAUAUGUACGCAUGUAAUUUUUGUUGUAGACAAAACUGUGGUAUUUUAUUUUCAAUUAUUAUAUUUUUUUUAAUCAUAUUAUUUAUGUGAUUCAUAUUAGCGCAGCUUAUGGUUUCUUAUUGUGCAAGCAAAACUAAGAAAUUAGGGUUAGGGUUUCUAAUGGAGAAGAUGAAGUUGGUUAUGGUGGUUAGAGAUUGUUAUAGAUUGAUGAGAGAGAGAGAGAGAGAGAUGUUAUAUUGGAAAGUUGUUAUUCUCAUGUAGAUUGUGAAAUUGAGUUACAAGCAAGUAUUUGUACACAAUGACUUAGAGAGCAACUCUCUUGUAACUUCCUAACAAACUUAUCCAAACAAAACAAACUAAACUCUUAAGCAUUUGUUAAUCAUGAUUAUGGAUUAAAACAUACAAACUAAUAAUUCACUUGCUUAGAAGAUGAUUAAUAUACCAAAAUAGAAAUGACAAUGAAUAGGGUCUGAGAAGGGUGUCAUGGUACCCACAGUUCAAGAAAAUACACGUAACCGUGUGAAUAGCAACUCCAAUACCUUUACUCGUACUUUUAGGGUAUCUAAGCACUUAUACCUAUAUCCAUUACUCACAUUUUAAACAUAGGAAUAAAAUUCCUCAGCAAUCCUUUAUCUUAUAUAUGAUAACAAUUUAGUCAUUUAUCUUGCGCCUCAUUUAUGUCAUUUAUCUUUUACAACGCACACAAGAUUUUCCUUAUUCAACUUUUUGUGCUAAGGACCCUGAAGUGUCUUUUUGUGUAUUGUGUUUCAAUGUGGAGGAGGACGUAAAUCAUCGUUUUCUGUCUUGCUCAUUUUCUUAUAUGGCCUGGUGUGAAAUUUAUAAAUUGUUGGGUUUUGCAAUGGAGUCUUACAAUGUCAUCACCACUUCUUACACUUUAACUCUCUACUUAUUACAAAAAUUUCAAAGAAGGUGAUUUAUAUUAUUUGCCAUGUUGUUAUUUGGUGCUUAUGGAAAAUAAUCUUCAAAGGUGAAGUAGCCAACUUAAUCAAAACUAUGUCUGGGGAUGGUUCAUAAAUAGAAUGGAAGAGGGACUCAGGACUAAAUUAUUCUGAUUGAUGGGGUAACCCUUUAUGUUUCUUACCAUUAAUUUAAAAUGUGAUAUCUUUUAUGAGUUAAGAGUACCCCUUAUAAGAGUUGUGUGCAUUUCAUGUUAUAUAAAUUGUGAGUCAGUAUCGUGUUUACACGGUUGAUUUUGAUUUAAUCUCUGCUAGUUACUAUGUGUGUGAUUCAUGGAUAUGAUCAAAGCAUUUGUUUCUUAUUUUUGAAAGAUAACCACUUGGCCGAGAGAAGCUUACUUGCGGGAAAUUAAAGUGAACUUUGUUUAACCCCUUUGAGCGUAAAAUGUAAAAAAAAUCCUUUUGAAAAUUGAACCUUGAAUCCAAAAGGAAAAACAAUGAAUCUUUCCCAUGUUUAUAGGAUAGGAGAGCAUUCAUUUUAAUGAUAGUGUUUUAUCUAAGUUGGGGAGGGAAGCUUUUAAAUUUGAAAGAAGUGAAAAGAUGGUAAAACAAUAAUUUUUUUGAAAGAAAAUCUGUUAAUUGAGAUGAAAAGAAAAAGGAAAAAAUUGAAAAAGUUUCUCUUAAUAGUCAAAGUGAAAAAGAAAAGGAAAAAUGUCAAGAGAAACAAAAAACAAUCACCAAGAAGGUUGAGUGUGAGAAAAAGCAAUGAUUCUUAACCAUACACUUUUAUAUUAUGUACCUAGAAAAACAAUGAUUCUUUGGAGUCUAACUAUAUUACAACCAAAGAAAGACAUUAGUGAUUGAUGCUUGAUUACAUACUUUGUGACAUAUGCACAGAUGAUUAUCAAAACUAAUUUGUUGUGAAAUCAUUGCAUGAAUUGAGUGAAACAUUGUUUCUAAGGAAUGUGAUCAUGAGUUUUUAGCUGUUGAUUAGAAUUUUCAAACAUCACACUUUGAUUUAGCAAUUGUUUCAUCAGAAUGUUUUGAUUCAUUGAUAUCACAAGAAUCUUUUGAAUUUAAUUUAAUUUCAUGAACUAUGCAUGCUUGAAAAGGAUUGAAAAAUUAAAGUGUUUGAUUGCUUAAAAAUCUUGAAUGUCUAUUGUGCAUUAAUGGUGUUUGAACCAUGUUUUAAAUUAUUUUUAUCAGACUUUUUUUUUAGGAAAAACUAAGUUUUAAGUUUGGGAGAGUUGAUAAGUGCCCAUUAUAUACUUUAAUUUAUAGGCACUUAUUAACUUGAACUAAUAGUUAACCAAGUAAGUUGAUACUUCGCUGGGCAACAAAGGUUUGAUAUUUCUUCCAAUUGAAGGAAAACUCAAUUUAAGGUUUUGCUUUAAUCAAAUUAACUUUGUUUAGGUCUAUAAUCAUCUUAAUUUGACCAUUACUUACAUCAAAUUGACUUAUAGUAAGACAUUUCUUUAUAAACAUAGUUAAUUUUGGUUAGAUCCGUUGGACAGUAAAUAUUUGAUCUCUCUUUUAAUUGGAUGAAAGCUCAAUUUAAACCUUUCUUUUAAUCAAUUUAACUUUGUUUAGGUCUAUAAUCAUCUUAAUUUGACCAUUACUCUCAUGAAAUGACCUAUAGUAAAAUAUUUUUUAUGUAUGAGAAUAUGUACCUUUACAUAUUUUCUUGUUUUAAUAGGUUUUGAAGAAAAAAACACUAAAGGAUGAAAGAGUUAGAUAGGAACAUUGAACGCAAUAUUGAAGAUUUAAAACUUAUGCAAAUUCUCUAACAAGCUACAGAUGGCUUAGCGAAUUGAAGGGAAAAUUAGCUUAGAAAGUUGAUAAAUUCACUUAAGUGUGUUAUGACAAUUUAGUAACAAUUGGAUUUACUUUAUCGUGAAUAAAGAUCAUUUCUCUUAUCUUCAUAUAAAUAAAGUUCUGAAUUCGUUUUUUGAGAGAUAUAUAGUAGUCUCAAAGUAUCCAUCUAACAUUUUUGAAUAUAUCAUAUUACUCUCACCUAUUUCUCUCUUUCAAGAUAUAUAAACAUAUCGACUAUCAAAGUAUUCAUCUAACAUUUUUUAAUAUAUAAUUCAUAAAAAGGAAAAACUUGGAAGGACCGUUGAAAAAUCCUACACUAAAUAUUUAAUUUCACGACCAAUCUAUCUAUAUGUUUUCUAGAGUCUAGAUCCGUCAAAAUAGAAAAUCUAUGCUCCUCUAGAGUGCAGCGAAAUUGUCCAUUCCAAAAGCAUUAUCCCGCCAUAUUUGACUACUAUAUGUAUCCAAAGAUUUUUUUUUGGUUUUUCCCAAUUAAAUUAUAGGACUGUGGUUUACUUUACUCUUUCUUUAAUCUUCGGUUGGUAGAUAAGAUGUUUGAAUAUAAUUUAUUUUAGAGGUUUUGCAUUCGAAUGUAAUUCUAAAAAUGUAGGGAUUUAAAUUUUUGAAAAGAAUUUUGUCAUAUAUUACAAUCAUACCUAACUUAAAUGAUUAAUAAUAUUACUCGUAGAUGACAUUCCAAUUCAAAAAACAAUAUUGUUCAUCUAGUCUUCCUUCUAGUAAAAAUAUCAUGCUUUUUCAUGACCAAGAAAUUGCUAGAAUUCAACAUUAUAAAAAAUCACUUUUUUGGGUACAAGUACAAAUGAAAAACCAUUUUUAUACACCAAAUCAUCAACCCCUGUUUGUUCCAUAUUAUGUAUAAAUAAUUUUGAUAUUUAAAAAUUAAGAUAUUAUUUUUAUAGAUUCUUAUGAACAAUAAGCUAUUUUAUGUUUUUAAUCAUGAUGAAAAUGUUUUAUUUUUAAAAUCAUUUAUGAAAAGUAACUUUUAAGGGGAGUUACCAAAACAAAUUCUCAUUUAAACAAGAUUUUAGAUUUUUUAAAUUUUAAUUUUUUGAAAAAGAAAUUGUAAUAAAUAGAUGAUAACACUUAUAGAUGUGACUAAUCUCUUUUACAAAAAAACUGCAACAUAGUGUCCCAAAAUUAAAAUGGAAAAUUUCUUCAUUGCAACAAAUAACUUCAUGAAAAAGAUUUCUUAAAAACAUAAAACUUCAUGAAAAAAAGCUCAGUUGGUAGCAAUAUUGCAUAUUAUACGCAGGGGUCGGAAUUGAACCCUGGACACUCUACUUUUCCACAAUUAAAUUGUGUGAGUUUUAGUCACUAUGCUAAUUGAAAAGAAAAAAAAUGAGUGUGUGAUUGACUAAUUUGAAUUAAAAUGUGCUGCUGCAUUCCCUUCAUUCAUGACAAGCCCACACUAUUUCAUUUUAUACCCAUUGAUUCUCUAUGAGUAACCAAUACACUCACACAUCGUUUAACUAUUACGAGUUCAGAACCUGUACGGGUGAUUAUCUCUGCUCUAAAUUUGUUCUUAACUCUCCCAUAUCUUGAUGCUAAAAGAUGCAUUUAUUUCACGAGCAAUGCUAUACAGUGGGAAAGAAAACACAGUGAAAGCUUCCCAAAGCAAAACUAACCAAUUACAGUUUGAUGUUUGGUGGAAUACGAGGAAGUGCUUGCUGAAAAAAUAGAAAUUAAGAAAUAAACCUCCAAUCAAAACUAACCAGUGGUCUAUUCGCUUGAUAUUCUCCCGCGAGAAAACACAUUUCCCUUAUUUAACAAUCCCAAAUUGCAAGUUCCAUUCUUAAGCAGCAAAUGUACACUCUUUAAGAAUUUACUAUCACUCCACCAAAGUAAACUCGGUUUCAUUUUCGAAUUUACUAAAAUUAUAAAUUAUAAUCAGGUCAAUUCAAAAUUAAUAUAACUCUGAUCAUUACAACGAGUUCAUUCAAGUAAACUCAUUUCAUUUAAACAAUUUUGACAAAACUUGUAGAUAUCACAGUUCAAUGAUGAUAAUUUCAACUUAAUAGGCGUGUCCAAAACCUUUACAAACAUCCAUCUUAUCCUAUAGAUCAAAUACCUUUUCAAAAUCGAUCUCCAUGUGAAUACUUAUUACCCUCUUCAAUCUCAUAACCUCUUGAUUAACUAUUAUGUUGUAAAAGCUAUUACAUCAUCAUGCACAAAAUAUGAUUGGUUAACACUCAUCAAUCAUCACACCUUCCACUCCACAAUGGAUUUCAUCCUAUUGGCAAUGAUCUUUGACAUUGCUUUAUAGGGAAGCAUUGCAAAGCUAAUAAGUCUAUAUUGCCUCAAAUUCAAUGCCAAAUACACAAUUGGGAUUAGUGUAUUCAAAAUGUCAUUCAAAUAACAAUCUUUAGUAGGUUCUCCAAUCUUAUUAUCCUUCUCUUGCACACAAUGGAUUAUAGAACUAUACUCCAAAAAAAAUAUAUAUCUUACAUACAAAGAUUGCUACAUGUGACAACAACCUAUUGCAAUUUUCUUUGAGAAUUGCUGUUGACACAUUACCUUUGGCUGAGAAACACUAAUAAUUUACCCAAAUGCCUCUCGGCAGUUAACUGCUGAGGAAAACUUCGGUAGUAAACUACCGAGGAAACCUCAAACCUAUUUUUUUUUUUUUUUGACAAAAACCAUAAAUUGUCAUUAAUAAUAUUUAUUGAUUUUGUUGCAUUUUUUUUAUUGAAUCACCAUUUUAGGUCCAUUAAUUACCGAUGGCAAACAUUUUUAUUUGUUGUUGUUGCGUUUUUCAUGUUAAUUAAAUUAAUAAUAUUUGAAAUAUUAGUAUAAAGUAAUAAUAGGUUAGUGAAACCUAUGAAUAAUGACAAACAUCAAUGAAAUUAAUUACUAAUAAUUACAAAUAUAAUUAUUCUAUCAUUUCUAACGUUUUUGUUGUUGCAUUUUUUUUAUUGAAUCAUCAUUUUAUGUCCAUUAAUUACCGAUUGCAGAUAUUAUUCAUCUCUCAUAUUUCUUCAUUUAUGGCAACAAAAUCAUAUGAAUGAAAUCAUAAAAAUGAUUAUGUUUAAUUCCUUAAAAGGAUUAAAGAAUUAAAUUUAAUUAAGGAAAAUUUAGGUGUAUUUCCUUAUUUAAUUUCAGGUUUGAAAUUUCUCGACAAUUAACUGCAACUGCCGAAGUUUUCCUCGGCAGUUAACUGCAGCCGAUUCUUUUAAAUUUCAGCAGUUAACUGAGAAGGGCAUUUGAGUAAUUUACUAAUGUUUCUCAGCCAAACUAAAUGUGUAAACAACAAUACUCAUUUUCUUUUGGUACACCUAAUACAAAAUUUAAUCCACAUAAAAAAAAAAAAAAAAAAAAGGAAAGAAUAGUGUUUUUUUCAAUCAUGUAUGUUUCUAAGUUUAGAUCCUAAUAUCCAACAUAAUCUCAUAUGAAUCACCAAGUAUUUCUACUAUUCUCACUAUUUUCCCAAUAAUACCCAAGAAAAGUCUUGGCAGCAUCCAAGCUAGGAAACCAAGUAGGUUCAAGAAAAAUCCUACUCAAACAUUCCAAAUUCAUCUCACUACUUCCCAUCAUAACAACCAAAACUUGUUUAUAACCAUAAAAAAAUCUCUUCAUUUCUAUCUCAAUCCCUUGCAACCCUUGCAACAAAUGAACCUUCUCAAACUCUUUCUUCUCUGAAUAAACCUUCAUUGCUUCCUCCAUUACCCCUGGCCCACCCGUGGGGUCCACUUCAACUUCCAAAAUUUCCGGCACCUUCUGCUUCAAAUCUCUACACAUUUUUGUUACUGUAACAAACUCUUUUGAACGAAAACAAAACGGCACCGUUUCGUGAAUUUCUUUCAUUUCAUUCAUCGUUCUUGUUCCUAAACCUAAUUGCUUCUUCAGUUUCAGAAAAUCUUCUGGAUCCAUCAUCAUGUGUAAAUCUUCGAUUUCCGUUAGAAUCUUCCAGAUUCUUUCCACCGCGUAAAUCUCACUCGCGGUUUUCUCAAAUGUUUUGUUAUCAAUGGAAUUGUUCACGCGCUCUAGUAACACACGCGCUGCGCGUGUCCAUGAUUCCAAAAUCUGGUGUGUCGCGUGUAGAAUUCUGUUCUCGUGGUUUCCGAUAUGAUCAAACGGUGUCGUUUCUAAUGAGUGGAUGAAAUUCGGUUUGCAAAUUUCGUCGUAACGGAGAAUCGGUUUACCGUUGAAAUUUUGUUCUCCUAAACCUAACGUGUAAUUACACGUCAUCAUUUCAGAUUCCACAGUGGAAAAUAGUCUCUGUGCUAUUUGUUUUGAUUUCUGCCACGUGGCGAGUUUUGGUAGCAAGCUUUGUUCGCUAUAGCUUCUGAAUUGGUCUUGGUAUAUUUUGCUAAGCUCGGUUAUCGGAGCUUUGCCACAAGUAUUAGUGUUUUGUUCCUCGUCAUCGCAGAGUAAUGCGAUGACGUGGAUUUGAGAUUUUGCUAGAGAUUCAACACGUCGAGUCCACUCGCGUUUGUUGAUAUAGGGUCUUGGGUCGGAUAAAACGGUUGUGAUGAGACAGAAAGUGAUUUCUAGAGCGGUUAAAGCGGGUUUUAUGAUGGGCUCGUUGGCCCAGUUGGGAAAGGUUGAUGAGUACCAAAGGGUUUGGAGGUGAGGGAGGUGGAGAUAGUUGUCAUAUGUUGUGCAAAGUGUGGAUGAGGCUGUUGUGAUGUCGUUUGUUGUAAGUGGAAGAGGGAGAUGGAAAGUUGGUAAGGGUAAAGAAAGUUUUGGUGAUUUGGGGGCUAUAUUUGAGUUUAGCAUCUUUGAUUUCCAUUCUAAAUCAACCAUCUUGGAAAAGGUAGAGAGAAAAUAGUGUAUGUAAAUAUUGUAUAAUUUGUGAAUGAAAGAAUGAAUUGAAUGGUUGAAGUGGUGUUGGUUUGAAGAGGGCAAGGAAGAGAAAAAGGGUAUUUAUAAUUCUAUGUGGAUAUGGAUAUGAGAAAAAGGAAGAUUUGGAAUUCUUUUUUAUGGAGAAAAAAAAGACGUGUGGACUGGGAAGGAAUCAGACAAAAGCACAAAAUGAAGAACGAGGAAUUUGAAAAUUACGGCGUGUGGGAUGUUGCAUCAUUUUUAAUUUGAAUUUUAAACGUAAAAUAUGGGUGCACUAUUUUUUUCUUAAAAGAAAAAUAUUGGGAUAUGGAUCAAAAAAUUAAAAUACGUUCACCAUCAUUCAUUAUUGUAUGAAGAAAAAAAAAAAUGCAUCAUAAAAUUAAAAUAUGAUCACUAUCCAUAUCUUGAGUCUUAUCGAACGUUGCUUUAAAAUUAUUUAAAUCAACUAAAAGUGAAUCGAUUAAACUCUAAAUUUAUCAUAUAUUAUUGUGUUUGAAAAUGACUUUUGGAUUGACUCAGAUCCAAUAUUACUUGUUCAACAAGUCUCUGAUCAUCGUCUAUGAAUGUAUAUUUCAUUCUAAAUCUUUCCUUAACUUCAAUCAUUAUAUCGACUUGAAUGUUUAUAGAGUCUAAGUCAUGCACAAAGACUGACAUACACUUUAGCUCUUUAACCUUAUUUGAGAGACUAUUAAUUUGGUGCACCAAAAAGAUAUAUCAUUUAAAAAUCGAGAUCAAAGAUAGUUUAUAAACAACAUUUAUACUCAUCUAUCUAACAUUAAAACAAAAAAAAAAAAUCUAAUAAACAAGAAGUAGCUUGAGGGGGCAACAAAAGGACAUUCUUGAAUAUGUGUGUAUUUUUUAUAAUAAAAAAAUGAAUUGAAUUGAAUAUGUUGACGGUAAAAUUGAAUUGAAUUAAUAAAUGAAAUGGGAAAAGUAGAGAAGAUGGUGGAAAGGAAGCAGCACAUGAAUCUUAUCCAUAAAAAUACCUAACGUAAAAGGACAAGAAAGGAAGUUGAAGAAGAAGUCCAUUUUUCUUUGUUUGGAAUCCAAAAAAUUAGUAGUGGAGUCGUUGAGUUGAACCUUCUUAUUUAGGUACAACAACGCUUUGCGAGCCUCUUUGGUGUUUCGGUUCCUACCUCUCCAAAACCUUGUGGCCGGUCACUUACCAAUUACUGUUCCCCAAUAGCCACGUUACACAUUAGUAUCAUAUCAAUUUUUGUUUAAGAUAUCACAAACGAAAGUUAGAGACUAAUUAUUCGAGAUAGAGAGAUUCAUUUAAGAGACCUACCACUUUAAACAUAAUUUUUUCAAAUUUAUGUUAGAGGGUAAACUCAUAACAACAUAUUUAAGAGAUUCAAUUAUCUGUCAAUUGUGUCGCAUGUAACUAGUAUAUUGCAUAUAUUAUUGUACUCUUUGUUUUCACUCAAAUAUAUUAUAGCAUUAGUAUCACAUGUAUUAAUGUAUAGUUUUUGGGCUUUUAGAUUCAUAUGUGACAUUUCUCAUGUGGAAUCCUACUCGAACAUUUUGCCCCUUUCCUCUACGUACACGAUAACAACAAUUCUUCUCUCCUUCCUACCCAGAUUUUUAUAAUUUUAUGUAUAUCCCAUUAAAACUUAUCUAGAUUGACUCACUUUUUUAUACAAAAAUCUAUGUUUUAACCAAAGCGGUUGUUAAUCAUUUUUUGAGCCACAACAAAAAAUAAAAUUUCGUAAACACUUUUAUAAUAACAUGAGAUUAAUUUCUAUGUUCCUUCAAAAAAAAUGAGCUUAACUUCUAUGAAAACUUCUUAAUUUGCACAUGCAUCAAUAAAAUCACGACAAAUAUAUAUUUGUAGAGGUGUUUUAGAAAUUGACGUAAGAAUAUAGACCUCGUUUGUUAUAGCUUUUUUCGAUAGAUUUUGGUAGUGUAAUGUGAUUUUGUUAUAAUUCUUUUAACAAAUAAAUUUUCAAGGAAAACUUCAAAUGAAAAAUCUGUUUGAAUAGUUUCUCUUAAAAUAUCAUUCUAAAUAUUUCAUCAUUGGUUAUAAUUUUUUUUUAUACUAAAAUUUAAAAAAAAAAUCUCUAAAAGAAAAAGUUAUUUCAAAUAGCUUUUCAUAAAAAUCAUUUUUGAAAUAUGUCAUUUUGAAAAAAUUGUGAUUUUUACAAUGUAAAAUCUUGAACAAUGAAUAUUUAAGUUAGUGAAUGUGAAAAUCUCCUUUUUAACUUAUAUCAAAUUUUCUCCAAAAAAAAAAAAACUUAUAUCAAAUGAGUUUGAAAUAAUUUUUACAAUUUUUGAGUAAAUUUAAAAAAAAAAUCAUUUUUAAAAAUACAAAGGAAAAUCCAUUUUUUAAAAUUUAAAACAAACGGGCCCAUAGUCUAAUAGAGUGACUUGAUUGAAUGCACAUGUAAACUAGUUUUACAUUAUCGGUAUAUAUACAAAUUAAACUGAUAUUAACUUGUUGAAUGGAUAUAUAAAAUUGUCAAAAAUACUCGGUCUCUCUCUUUGUUUUUUGUGUAUUUUCUUGAUACAUGUAUAAAUGGAAAAACAUGAAACAAAAAAAUAUCGAAUGGAAAAAAACUGAACAAAAAAAAAAAGUUCCCCUAGAAAAAUAAAGUGAACAAAAGAAGCAUUAUCGACGGGGUAAAAAAAAAUUGUUUAAAAAACACAAGUGUUAUAAAUAUGAAUAUAGACGCAUCAUUUGGCCACGAUGAUCAUUUUUAGCUUCAAAGAGGUGUGUUGUUGGAUAAAAAUGUUCUCUAUUUUUAUCCCUAAAAAAAUUAAUCUCUGUAUUUUCGAAAUAAUACAAAUAAAAAAGUCCUGUUGUUGGUUGGCCAUGGACAAGAUGAUUGAAACCUACACAAAAUAUUAUGGAUGACAAUAGUUGUGAAUUCGAUUAAAACUCAUACUGAAAAAUUAAUGUGUGAAGUAGAAUUAGUAGCAACCAAGCUAAAGUGAUCAAACAAAACACAAACAAUAAGAUAAGAUAAUGGAGAAGAAGGAAAAACUUAAUCUUGUCAAAAAAAAAAGAAGGAAAAACUUAAUGAUAUAUGUUUACUCAGUAUGACCCAAAUUUGAUCCAUGUCUAUAAAAGAGAUAUAUCUUCAAUCCACCAUCAAAGAGUUUCUUACAAAGAUAUAUAAGUGUUACAAGAAAUUAACCUUAAAAAAUAAUCCUUAAUUUCUAAUAUUGUCAUGAAUAUUUUCCCUUGAGAUUCAAUGAUUUGACUCAACAAAUUGUUUAGAUUGUUUCACAACCCUAGAGGAUACUUCAAAAGUACUCGAUUCUUAACCUUUGAUCGCUUAUGAAUCCCCUAUUUCGAUAAACCAUAGUGUUCCUUGCACCUCUCAAAACUGUGAUGAAAACGAAAAUUUAUAAAAUUGGCCGCGACCCAACGCCUUGUGAUUGGCUUCAUGUAACUCGCACAUGAGGCAAAAGCAAUCGCUAAUGAAAAUCCUUUUGUGUGCUUCACACAUUCUCUAUACGACUCGCCGAUAGUUCAUGCGUCUCAUGCAUGGUUUCAUGCGCCCCACACAUAAGGCAGAACAACAACUCCUCAAAAUUCAUGGUUUCAAGGCAUAUACAAUAAUUCUUCCUCUUUCCAACUAUUUUUAAACCUCAAAUCCUUGGACUCAAUUAAAGUAUAGUUUUUUCUUCAUCCUCAAUAUUCACUUCAUUGUUCACUAAAUCGUCAAGAAUUUUGUUGAACUUCGCUGAUUGCUCUCUGAUAGUUCAUGACUCCACCAUCCUAAAUGAUUAGAAUUGCUGUUUCAUGAAUUGUCUAUGAGUUAACGACUUGGUCAUAUACAACGAAUUCAACUUUGAGCACAUCCACGUUGUCGUUGUCUCCUUCAUGACUUCUCUUAGAACUUUUUCUCUUGUGUACUUAUGACAUGAUAGCCGACACCGCAACCUUAACCUUCAGUGUCAAUAUUGUACACUUUUGUUCAAUCAAGAUCACUUAUAUCUUCUCCUUUCACAACGUAAAAUAAAAUCAUUGUCUCUACGUUAAUAUGUAUGUGAAUUUUCAAUUAUCUUUAUUAUUUCGUCUAUCAACAAAAAACAUAAAAUAAUACUCCCUCCGUCCCAAAUUGUAUGUCGUUUUAAGAGAAAAUAUUUGUCUCAAAUUAUAUGUCGCUUUACAAUACCAAUGCAACAUUAAUGUUACUUUUCCUAUUAUAACCUUAACUAUUUAUUACUCUAUCUUCUUUCAAUUAUUUCAUUUAUCUUUCCCAUAUUAUUUAUUAAGGACAAUUUUGUAAAACAACUCAUAAUAUCUCUUUUCCACACAAUAUUAAUUGCAUUUUUUAAUAUAUAUGAAAUGCCCAAAACAUCAUACAAUUAGGACGGAGGGAGUAUAUGAGAAAAUCCAUUUCCCUAACCGCCUAUAUGUGCGCUGUUGAGAAAAAAAUGAUAAGGAUAUUUCAACAUUUCAAUUUUUCCUUACACUCUUUUAACAACCUUUCAUAUUUGCUCUAUCUCUUAUUUUUAUUACAUCUCAAAUAUAUCACAUUACUUCCAUUAUUUCUUUCUUUCUCAAAGUGUAAACGGGGUGUAUGGAUGUUCAAACAUUAUUUUCCAAAAAAAGCAUGUCAAAAAUAUACCGUAGAAUUAAUAAUUUAAUCAGCUUAAUUUACCUUUUCAGGCUAAGGUUUGUUCCAUUUCUGCGGCUUUAUUUUUGUUUAGUUUUCAAAUACCAUAUCCACAUGACAUCCAUUGCAGCAAUCUAAUGCAAAAGCAAACGGCGCAAAAGCCUUCAAAAUUAGCAGAACAGAAACAUUGUUUAUUCAGAUAUUUUUGGUGCUAAAAGAUUUUGUUUCCUAACGACAAGGAACCUAAAGUAAAUCAAAUCUAUAUAUUGAAGAAGAGUGAUAUGUUGUAUUCCAAAACAGUGGCAACUUCGUCUAGUCAUAUAUUUUGUUGGCUUAUCCAAAACAAAGUUAUAAGAAAAUUAGUUUAAAUUUUUUAUUCUGUUUGAUUAUAAUUUUGGUCCUCUAAUUUGCCCUUAUUUAAUUUUGGACCACUAAUUAUUUUGUGCUUGAAUGAUUGAAUAAACGAUACAUAUCCAACCAAACUCAAUUAAUAACAUUGUGUCCAUCAAAAGAGAAAAAGAGAACUUAAAUCACUUGAAAAAAAAUUAAAAUCGUUUCUUUUUCUAUUUUAUGAGUUUCUUACGCCCUCCAUACUGUUCGGAUUAUAGAAUUCAAACGGUAUAAAUAUCUUAUAAAAACCUUCAAAAAUAUAUUGAAGGUUUCAAAUUUUAAAAUUAAAUAGAACACGCGAAACACUCGUCGAAUGAAAAAAAUAAUAUGGAUCAAAAUCCACAUAACUCAAACUCCAUAUACAAAAGUAUAAUGAAGUUUUAUAUUAUUGUAACACUUGAAUAUUUUUAUCAUUUGAAAAGUGAAAACUAUAUCUUAAAUUUUGGAUCGUAAUUUAAUCCUUCCAAACCUUAAAGGCUGCGGUGAAGAGGAUAAAGAAUGAGGGGUAGAUAAGGAGUAAUGAAGAGAUAAACUUAUAUUCCUUCUCAAUUAAUUUCCCUUCAUGCUUUAGCCUUUAUGGCUGUUAUUACAUAUCUUUGUUUGUCCAAAUCAGCAACGAUUUUUUGGCCACCUGUACAGACCCAAACACACGUAGCGUGAAAAACAUGCGUUGCACCAAACCUUGUCGGCCAAAGGUGGACAGGUCAGGUUGCACUGGCGGUGCACAGCCACAGCAUAGGAUGCUACCGAGCCCAUACAUAUUGCCACAUGGGGAAGGAAAAUGGCAUCACUAUGAAUCUCAUUUAAGUUUUUGAUAGCUGAUAAGCUUAUGAAAAAUGUUGUGUACACAUUGUGUGAGUGUGUAUACAUCUUUAAAUAAAGAGAAAAUGAGAGUAAUAUGAUAUGUAAUAUCUUGAACAUUUUAUAGAAAGAAAAGAUAGGGGGAAAAAAUGGAGGUGUUUAUUGAGUAUAUGAAAUUAAGAGAUGCUUAUUUAUCAUUGUUGUAAGCCUAUACUAGUACAAUUCCUUUCGGAUUGGAUUAUAAAGAUACAUGCAUAUGAUAUCCUAAUCUUCUAAUGAUUUAUAUUAGUUAAAGUGUGGAUAAUAAUGAAUACAUGUAGUCUAACUAUUUCAAACAUAUAGAAAUAUUUGUUGCAUUUCACGAUGAACAACCCAUAUGUAAAAAUAACUUGUCUUAAAAUGAAUGAUUUUUUGCGCAUGAGAUUCUACUCCUUAAGUUUUAAAAUAUAUGUCGUAUUUUUAUACUCCCUCCGUCCCUCAAUAGAUGACCUAGUUGACUCUGACACACGUACCAAUGCAUAUAUUUUAUCUUUGAUAUCUUCAAUUCUCUACUAAAAAAAAUUAUAAAAAUUUAAUAUUUUAAAAAUAUUCAUCGAGACGAAUCCAACAACAUCUUACAUAAUAUUAUUUAUCUUUGUGAAUUAGUAGAAAAAUAUGGUCAAAGUAUGACAAGUCAAUAAUGUAUAUUGUCAACUAGGUCAUCUAUUAAGGGACGGAGGAAGUAAUAUGUAUUAAUCACGUGAUUUAUUUUAACCAUGUUUUUAACUACUAUGUAUAUAAUGAGAAUGCUAAUCCGUGCCACCUUCCGGAUAUUGGUUAAACAACAAAACAAGUAAAAAAAAAUAUAAAUUGUGGUGUAAAUAUUACUUAAUCAAAAGUCAAAACAUAUAUUUUUAAGACAAAUUUUCUAAUUAUAGAUUACUUAAUCAUUGUCUAUGGGACACUAGUUAGCAAGAUCCAAUAUGUAAAUAUAAAUGUUAGCACGUAAGAAGUUGUUCGAUUUGUCUCGAUAAAUAUUUUCAAAAUAUUAAAUUUUUAUAAUUUUUUACAUUUAAUUAAAUAUAUUGACGAUCAAAGUUAUACAUUGACAUGUAAAAGUGGUUGACUGUGACGUAUAUUUUAAAGCAGAUGAUUGGUCAUGUAAUUUCAAAGUAUAGUGUUUAAAUUUUAUAAGGAUUGCUGUAAGAUAUUUAUUAGUGUAUCACAUUAACUAAUAACAAAUUUGAGUGAAUCAUCAAUGUCGUCCCUGAAUUUUCACGGUUCGGCCAAAUUCAUCCCUCAACUAUGUGAAAUAUCAAUUUAAUCCCUGAAUUUGUUAAAUGUCAAUCAAGUUAGUCCUUCUGUUCAAAUGGAGCGUUAACGGAGCUGACGUGGCCGUUAACCUCUCACAUGUCAGACGACACAUAGACAGGGACUAAUUUGGCCGAUAAUAACAAACAUUUUGAAGGACUAAACUGAUUGAUUUGCAGAAAAUGUUUCGGCUUUCUUCCCAAACGGCUCUUUUCUUCCCCAACAACUAUUUCUUCCCCAAUUGUAUAAAAUUGAAACCCUGAUUACACAAGCAAUCUACACUCCAAAAUCACCAAAAUUUCCUCCAGUAAUAAGUGGUCCGGUUCUUCCCCAAUUCACAAAACUUCAAACCCUAACUUUUUGCAUUGAAUUUGAAUGUCAAAAUCCUCAAAAUUUCUUGAAGCAAAACUAUUGAAAUUGGAUCUGAAAUGAUGGGGGUGGGAAUAUGGGAAAAAACAGUUAUGAAAGUCAAGUUUCAUCUUCAAGCUCCAAGUUUAAUGGUGAUGUGAUAGUGCUUGAAUGUUGGUGUCCUAGAAUUUGUGUCGUUAGAAAAUCAAUACUGUAAAAAUCCCAUGAAGGCCAUUCUAUGCUUGCCCUCUCCAAAGGUUUGUUUAACUAUUAAACAUGUGAUGUCAUCUUAGUUUGAACAACACAUGACUGAUUUUGAAAAGAGGUUGAAAAUGAUUGAGGAAUGUAACAUUUCUGUAAUAAUAUCUCCAUCAAAUUAGUCUCUGAAUUAUUUCUCUAUAUAUCAAAUAGAUCCAUUCGUUAUUUUAAAAACCAUUAAAUAAGUCCCUGAAUUGUUUAAUCAGAUAUCAAAUUGAUCCAUGAAGUAUAUGUGUACAAAAUAAACUAAAAAAGCCAGAACAAACAAAUUGAAACUGAAACGGACAAAAAAAGGGUGGAUACGAACAUAGAAACUUGAUAAACUAGAGGAAAGGUUUUACCUUUAACCACAGCCGAACACAGAAACUUUAAAAACGUGAGAAUCGCCGGAGAUGAUGAUGAUUUUGGAGAGGUGAGAAUGGAGAAAGUUUUAGGGGGAAGGAGAAGGAUCAAGGAUGUUUUUGAUGUUUCUGAGUGGAAUGUGAGGAAGGAGGUAUGGGUAAUACAGGGGCAAAAUUGGAAUAACAUAAAAAAAUUGAAAAGUGAAAACUGGAAUUUUUUCACUUUCAUCAAAUUAGUCCUUGAACACGUAGCUUCCUUUUUGCCACGUGUACAAGACAGCACAACAUGUUGGGCGACAGAUCAGAAUAGCUAACGGAGCAUUUGGACGGAGGAACCUUUUUUAUGGACGUCUGACAAAUUCAGGGACUAAGUUGAUAUUUCGCAUAAUUGAAGGAUGAUUUUGGCCACCCAUAAAAAUUCAAGGACGAAUUUGAUGGUUCACUCUAACAAAUUUCUCUCUUUCCUUUUUAAAUUAACUCUUUUAAUUUCUAAUGCAAUAUAAUUUUAUAAAAAGAAUUCAAUUGUUCUCUAGUUCAUUUUAUUUGCAUUAUUUUUUAGACGACGUAUUUUACUUUACAAAUUUAUGAUAAUGAUUAAUACAUCAACUUUUUUACAAGAGUAAUUUCAUAAAAAUAUAAUUUUCUCUUUUUUAUUUAUAAGAUAGCACAUUGCCAAACAACACAUGGUUCUAAGUUGUUAUAGGUUCAAAGGAAUUGUGCUUAAUUACACUAUGUAUUUGUGAAAAUGAGAAAUGAAUAGUUAUGACUAAUAUAUUUUUAAAUUUGGAAUGAGAAGUGGCUUGGUGAUGGUUCAAUCUUAAUGCCAGCUACUCACUCUAAUUUAUCUAUUAAUGAUCUUUGUGUGGCUGAUUUAUUCUCCCUAAUAAAAAAGCUUGAAAUAUUCCCUUUAUUACAAUAGUUUUUUAUUUGGCUAAUGCUGCAAGGAUUUUUAUCACAUCACUAUUUGAUUCAGUUGACAAUGAUAGACGUUUUUGCACUCAAUAACUCAUUGAUACCGACUUCCUCAAAGUCUCUAGUGAAUGGCAUUUUUAGGAAUUUCAUUCCUACUAGAAUUUAACUUUUUAAUGAUACAAGUGUGGAUUGUCAAACCAAUUGUGUGUUAUGUGAUUUCCAACUUGAGGAUUCUCUACGUGUUUAUUUCAGGUGCUCUAACAGUUUCAAUAUUCGUUGGAAAAACUACUUUUUAUGAUGCUGGUGUGUAUUAGAGAUGAAAAUGGUGGCUUUGUCUUGGCCAAAAUCAAAUGGAUUAUGGAUGUUGUCAAAAUGUGUUGUUCAUAUGUCAAUGAAGCACUUGAAUUACUAAAAAAAGUACAUCCAUACAUAAAUGACUAUAAUUUAUAAUAGUUUUAAACAAACGUCACAUAUUUUUCUUUGAAAUAAAAUAAAAGGAUUAUAGUAAUUUUCAUCCAUGAAUGUUUAAUAGAUAGCCGUAAUAGCCUCUUACUGUAUUGAAAUUAUAAAAUAGUUAUUAAUUGUACAUUUUAUUAUUUGAGUGUAUAUUUUCAGUUGCAUUUACAUUACAUUUAGUUAAUUACAAGUUACUUAUGAUGAGAUGUCAUUUCUAGGCUCUAGUUUAUAUAUAUACUACAAUUUGUAAUUGAAUUCAUUCAUUUAAUGAUAAUCGCUUUUCUUCAAUUUUCAUCUUUUCUCAUGUUAGAGAAGUUCUUAGACAUUUCGUUUGUCAAAAUAAUCUCUGAAAUUAAAAUAGUUUUUUAACGUUGACAUUAACUAUUUUGACUAACACAAUGCAUACUCAGUGACUAUUUUGAAAUUUCGAUAGAUUGAAGGAUCAUUGUGGCUAUUCGUUAUAUAUUCAGAGACUAAAAUGACUAUUCCCUUUAAACAAACGGUACAUGUAAAUAACAUUAAUAGUUGGAUGGAUAGGGUAUAAUGUUGAUAAAAGUGUUAUCGGGUUCGAUUCUCACAUCCAACAAAAACUAGCAAAUUAACAUAUUGGUCAUUUCAAAGAAAAAAUACAUCAACAUUUUUGAUAUAUAUGCCAAAAGUGCAAAAUAAGCUUAUACCGAAAGAUGGAGGCAGUAGUGUGCAACUCAAGUCUAGAAUUCAUUUCACAAUGAAUUUACACUUUUGGUAGGAAAAGAAGUGAAAACGAUACAACAUAGAUAAAGGUGAGAGAGCAUCUAAGAAAGGAAUAUAGUGUAAUAACAUGCACUUGUUCGAAUACCACUCUUAUAGAAUAUAGGGAUAUUGGAUUAGUAUGAAUCAUGACGCCCAAUAAAUUGGGUCAUUUGACAUUUGAUUUCGUCAUUGUCAAACAACAUGCAUCCAUCUAAUAUCAUAAAUCUUAUAUGUGAUUUAUCUAGAGAAAAACUAUAUAAUAAAAUCGAAAUAUAUCUUUUAAAUUAAAUCUAUCUAUAUGAAGCGUGGCAUGUGAUAAGAAAAAUAAUCAUUUAGUUUGUGGCUUGUCUUUUCGAGCAAAGUGUCUUUUAGGGAAGCAAAAGCAUAUCAAUCUCUUUCGUUUACUCAAUUAAUUGGGCAACACAGCCGUUUAACGAUGAGGAUAAAAGUGUCUAUCACCCCUAAAAAAAUGUGUAUAUGUAAUAUCAAUCCCUUUCUUUUAGCGAUUGGUAUGAAAUAUGAAUCAUGAUGCCCCAUAAGUCUGGAAUAUUGGAAAAGUGCAUAAUAGACAAAUAUAAUGCAAUUAAUCUUCAAUUAUUUUAUAUAAGAUUUUAUUAAUUUAUGUUUGAGAAAUUGUCGAAUAUAGAGGGUCAUAGGUUCAGAGGGUUUUUGUCAAAAAAAAAAAAAAAGUUAAAUAUGUUUUUAGUCCCUACAUUUUACGCUCUUUUGAUAAAUAGUCCCUACAUUAAGUACAUGUUUUUAAAAUUCCUAUAUUUUACUCCCGUUACCAAAUUUAGUCCCUGAUGUUAAUUUCUUGUCCAGUCGCCAAACGGACUGCUGAUCUGGCCUUUUUUUUUUUUUGGUACCUUUAAUUUCAAUUUGAUUUUGUGUGUAAGUAGAAUUUGUUUUGUUUCUCAGAUGAAAAGUGUAACCUCCAAUAUGUUUGUAUGGGUUGAUGAUGAAAUAAAGAAAAUGAAGAAGUUACAUCAAAUGAAGUAGUUCAAAAUGAUUCAAAUGUUGCUGCAGUUGCUGUAUAGUUAAUUCAAGAAAUUAUGAAAAAAAAUGCAAAGCUUUCAAAGAAGUUAAGAGCUGAGAAGAUGAAAGGGAAAUUUACGAAUUUUCUGCUAUUUUUGUUGUUGUUUAUCAACCUGUUUUAGUAGCAAAGUUGUUUGUUUAGGUUGUAAGAAAAUGGCAUUAGAUGAGUUGGGUAGUGAUAGGGUUGUUGUAUGGAGUUAAUGUUUGUGAUUGUUGUUAAUCCAUUUAUUCCAUUAAUUAACUACAAUUUAACACUAAACAUGGUUUAAUGUACAUUCAUUUAAUGUGUGGGACCAUUGCUGCUACAUAUACAUCCAAGUGUCUCUGUUUUUUUUGCCACAUCACAAACUAAUUGGGGCCCACUUAAUGCCACGUCAGCGUCUGAAAAUUAACGUUAGGGACUAAAUUUGCUAACGGGAGUAAAAUGUAGGGAUUUUAAAAAUAUUUUCUUAAAUGUAGGAACUAUUUAUCAAAGAGCGUAAAAUGUAGGGACUAAAAACAUAUUUAACAAAAAAAAAAAGAUUCAGAGGAUUAGGUAACUCAACUGGUUUCAAAUAAGGGAUAAAGAUUCAGAGGUAAGGUUCUAGUUUUAGCAAGAAACUAACACAAUAAUUAGCAUACUUACCUUUGUUAUUUGGUUAAAAAAAUUAAUAAAAAAAAAACAUUUGUUAUUAAAAAAAAGGUCAUGGACUCGUGACAUGACUACAUUAGACCUUUUUAUCAUGUAGAAUUUUCUUUCCCGAAAGACCUAAGGUGUUUGUUUAAGAAACUUUACCCUAGACAAUCCAAGAUUCUUUACAUAGAAUUAUCUCCAUAUAAUUGACAUUUGCAUUAAGAUUGAGAGAAAUAUACUUAUUGAAUAUCUUAAAUCACACUAAACUCAAUUAGGUUCGGUGUCACCCAUGUUUUGGCAUCAACAACACAAAUGUACGUACAAAAAUAGGAGUAUUAUUAAAAAAAAAAAAAAAAAAUCCUAGAAAUUUAUGUCAAGAUUUAUCUAAGUCUACAAUAUGAACAAAUGACAUUUUUCCCCACAUUAGUAAAGAUGGGGUAGCACCAUUUCCAUGCGUACUAGCUCUUGAAGCACCUACACUAAUUCAUAAUGUGAUUAGCAAGUUAUGAAAAUGUCCAAAUCUAUGUCUCUUUAUUAUUAUCGCUAGAGAUCAAAGUGUCCCUUAAAUUCAUUGACAUGUAGGAGUAGGAAUAGUUUAGAAUACGUCAUACUUUAAAGACCUAUUUAUGUCGAUCUUUGAAUUUUAGAAUUGGCAAGGGCGUAGGGCAGGCGUGUCACAUAGGUGUGAUCAUGGGCACCCCUAAUUUUUGAUCUAUGAAAAUAUACCUAAAUAUAAUUUUAUGAAGUAAUAAUAUCUAAAUUAACAUGUUUCCUUAAAAAAAAAAAAAAAAUCUAAAAUAACAUGUUAUUAAAGUAUUAACCUAUUUUGUGUAACAACUAUUCACUUUAAUUUUUUUUCCAAAAAAAAAAAAAAAUACUUAACAUGUUUCCUUAAAAAAAAUCUAAAAUAACAUGUUAUUAAGUAUUAACCUAUUUUGUGUAACAACUAUUCACUUUAAUUUUUUUUCCCAAAAAAAAAUAAUACUAUUCACUUUAAUUUGUUUAAAAUAUGUUGGAAAAGUUAUAUAAUAAGAAGGUUUUUAUACCUUUAUUUUAUUAUUAACUAAAAAUAUGAAGAAAAAGAAGCUCAACAGAGCAAAUUACAUAAAAUGAAAAACUAAGAAGGCUUAAUUGAAGUUUUUAUUAUUUUCGCAGGCGGAAUUGAUCCCCAUUUUAAAAAUCUCAAGUUUUGGUCACUCCCUAAAAUAUUUGGACUAAAAUGAUGAUGCAACAUGAUCUAAAUGAGUUAUAAUAUGAUGAUGUAAAAUGGCCAAAACCAUAAAAUACAAGAAAACCAACCUCUAAGAACUUCAAUUUCAACUACAGAAUUUACUCAUUUUUAUAUUAUAAAUUAAUAACAUGUAAAUCAUUAAUUCAAAUGAUUGAUUCUGCACAAUCAUUUUUUCAGUAUAGAAAUAUGAAGUGACCUAAUUUGAGGGAUUUUUAAAUGUGGGUACCAAUUUUGUGAGCAAGGUAAAAAUAGAAAGACCAAUACUGUAAUUAAACCUAAAACUUAAUUAUAUACAAAAAUAUUUUUUCUCUAAUUAAUUUUAUUGUUUUAUAUUUUUUUUGUUGUAGUUUUAUGAGAAAUCUGGUACAUAUAUUUUUAUAAAUGUAGGAAAUACUUUUUUUAGUGUCAUUGUUUUUGCCUGCAAGUUUAAUUCCAGACUCCACCGCUACUAAUUUGUGCAAAUGAAGCAUCGUAUUUGCAAGAUUCUCUAAAGAAUUGCAAGGAAAUCAUGCAAGUUACAUUGUAUUUACUUUGCCCUUCUAUCAAAUACUAUAAACAAAAAAUUCAAACAAAGUUUUUUGAGGGUUAAGCUAUUGAUAACGAUAAAAAGAAAACGAUAUAAAUUAUCGCUGAAUUGUGAAAAUAAUUCAAGCAGAUCCUUUGACAUAAUUUAAGAAGAAUGGGCACUGUCUUCCCCCUCAUUUAUCAACUUUAAAAAUAAUUCAAUGGUUUGAAAUUUUGUUUUACAUGAUGCAACUGUCAUAUAAACAUAGAAAUAACCAUAGAAACAUGGUAGAAAUCUAUUUAUGUUUAAAACAAAGUAGUAAGAAAUCGGAGAGUACCAGAACAACAGACAAAUAAUUGUAACCCCAGAAACAACAGACAAAUAAUUGUAACCCCAGAAACAACUAGACACAAAAGCAACCAAAUAAGACCAAGUGAUAACCCCAGAAACAAGUCAACAGAAAUAGAGUUUAUAUAGAACCAGAGUACAAGAUCAAACGGGCAAGUAACCAAACUGACCGACAAAUCAAAAUUUUGUAAAACUUUACUUCCAAGCAAAAGAUGAAGAAAUUUUGAAUUAAAACUAAAGGUUUUGGCUUUAUAAAGUUCAAAAUUCUUGCUUAACCUUAGUUAACAAAUUAUAGAUAGAUAAAGCACAGGAUCCAGGUUCAAUUGCCAUUAAAAUAUAAAGUUAUCAAAAAUAAUAAAUAACAUCACCAAACAGAGUCAUAAUGGAAAAUACAAAAUAAGCAAAACUAAAUAACUUCAAGAACGAACAAAUGGUUCAGCAAAUCUAACAAACCAAAAUACUUGAUAGUAAAUUUUGCAAGAUCUAGUCAUCACCAAAAAGACCAAAACCAAUGUCAUCAUCAGAUUCUUCUUCAGGCUCAGCAGCAGCAGCAGCGGCGGCGGCAGCAGGCGCAGGCGUAGCACCAGAAACAUCGGCCGGAGCAGCAACAGCAGCUACGGCAAACUUACUUGGGUCCUGCAUUAUACAAAAUUAAUGAAUAUGAAAUACGGAACUAGUGAAUUUUUUAAAUGCACAAUCAUUUGAGUCCAAGACAAGUCAAUACCUUCAAGAACUCCUUAACCUUGUCAGCCUCAGGGAAAGAAUACUCGGUUGCGACUGCAACAGCAAGAACAUUCUUGUAUGCAUUCACGAACAUGUGAGGUGCAGCAGCUAGUGUUGGAUAAGAGAUGGCCAAGGAAAGUGAAGUAACCAUUGAGACACCAAUGGCAAACUUCGCAACAAGGUCAUCCUCAGUAAGAUCCAGAACCUCAGGGUUAAACACAGAGCCAUUGUCAUACACAGAGAGGACCACAAGUCCAUAUGAAAAUGGCCUGAUGCCUAGCUUGGCAAGCAAUGCAGCUUCAGAAGAGCCAACCUUGUCUCCCUUCUUGAUGAGUUCAACAGGGGUAAUAAUUUCCACAGUACCCUUGUUAAUCUUUGUGGGAAUGUUGAGCACCUAAAAUUUCAAAGUUAAAAGAUUAGUAUUGAGUAUAGAAUUCAUUACAGUAAUACUCAUAUACAAACGGAAUAAGAUGACACACCUGGAAGAAAGAGGUUUGGGAGGGGUCAAGCCCUGUGUUGCCAGGAGGGACAACAACAUCAAUUGGAGCAACCAAACCAACACGAGCAGGAGCUCCAACCUAUUCCGAUAAAAGGGAAAUAUCAAUAAAUUAAUAGGAAUGGUGAGCAUAUAAGAUGUUGAAUUGUUAUUCAUCAAACUAAAAUAUAACAGCAUUCACCAUGAGCAUAUUGACAACCAAGGAAAAUGUCAGAUUGGGUUAGCAACAAAAAAAAAAAGCCAGGGUUUUUGAAAGAUGAAAAUUCAAAAUUCAGUUGAAACAAUUUGUAGGAAUAAAAAUUAAGAGCAAAACCUUGGAACAAAUGUCGAUGCAUUAGAUAUAAAUUAAAUAGCCAACCAUAUAAUUUAUUCAAAGUAAUAGAAUUUGUGAUUGUUUAGAUCCUGUGGAGACAAACAUGUGUUUGGGAGUCGUAAGUAUAUUUUGAACAUGAAUAUUCAAGUUACUAUACUAUCAGUAAAGAAAUAACAUUUCAGGCCUGUUUGAAAACAGCUUAUUUGCAGCAUAGAGCACAAGCACUUAUCAUGAUCGGCACUUAUGCAAAAGCUUACAUAAGCUACUUUCAUAAAAAAAGAUAACAUAAGGUUAAACAAUUUCUGUAAAUACUAAAAGCUGUUUAAAUCAACCUAUAUAACCUAUACUGAAGAACUUCUGAAAAUAAGCCUAAAUAAUGUUCAUAAAAAAAAAGUCAUAUUUUCAUAAGUUCUCCCAAACAGUUUCUCAAAACUCAUGUCAGUUUCUCAAAACUCAUGUCAAUAGAUAAGCUCAAAUAAGUCAAUCCAAACAGGCCCUUAGAGUAUAAAGAACUUAACUUGGUUUUUACUUCACAGCUAGUUUAUCAAGAAAACCCAUAUCACAAAUUACUUUUAUAUCAAAAUCAACUUUAAUCAAAUCAUGAAUUAUAUUUUGCAAACUAAAACUCCAUCUAAUUCAUUUCAAAAAACAUCCACCCAAACACACUUAAAUAAAGUGUGGAUAAUGAAAAAGUGUGGCAUUAUACUAAUAGCAUUGCAUAUUGUACGCUUAAAAUAUAAGCUUUACGUGACAAUUAAAAAAAGGUAAGUUUACCUUGUACUUGGCAACCUCUUCACUGACCUCCUUGAGGUCUCCCUUGGUGAAAAUCAAACCCACAUUUCCCUGUUUCAAUGGAGAUGGCACUAUUAUUAAUCUAUAUACAUUUUAAAUAAAUACAACUACUCUCAAUUAGUAUAAUCACAAAGUAGUUUCAAAAAAUAGUAUAAUAACCAAAAUUUAAGCCAAUUGCUUGCUAAAGCACCAUCACAUAAUUACACAAUUCUACGUUCUAGGCUUACUAAACAACAUUCAAAUUACUAAACAACAUUCAAAUGCUAUCAAUCUGGUCCAAUAUAAUACUAUCAAUCUAGUAACAAAAUAACCAAAAAAAAAACAAAAUUUUGAUUAUAAUAAAAUAGCUCAUGAUAAAAUAAACUAACAUACAAAAAUUAAUCAUAUAUAUCUCACAAAAUUAAUGAACAAAACAACCCAAUUCAUCAGUCAAUAUUAUCAAAUCAACAAAAACUAGAGGAUUGGAAAACUUACAACAAGGAGAGGGAUAAGGUUAAGAAACGCAUUGUUCCCAGUUUUCUCAGCGUGCAUCCUCACAGAUCUCUUCAUCAUAGUAUUCUUCCCCAUAAGAACAACCGAAUCACCACGUAAACCACCACGAAUAUUCUGAAGCUGCUUAGAUCCAACGUUAUCAGCAUUAACAAUCAGAAUCUGAGUGAAUUCAUCGAGAAGCUGGCAAAGCUUAACAUCGUAAGCUUGCUUCUUCUCGGCUUUGGUAGGUUUUGGUGCCAUUGAUGAUGAUGAUUGAGUUUUUUUCUUAGGGUUUUGAUGAGAGCAAAAUUGAGGGCCAAGACGAAGAUUUACGUCAAGGCGGACAGCAGCUGCGCCGUCGCUUUAACCUCUGGUUUUGUGGAGGUUCGUUGGUUUU
rnacentral:lncRNA from 1 species